rnacentral:lncRNA from 1 species
CCUUAGAAUCACUCAUGUUGUGCAGAAAACAGCAGUGCCGGAACUGAUUGUUGAUUUCUGAAUAAUAUAAGCUAAAGUUAACAACUUUACGGUGAACUUAUGAAAAGUCAAGGAUUGCUUUGAAACCCUUGUUGCUGCAUCAAUAUAAAACAUGAAAUAGGAAGAUACAAAAAGGGAGAAACAGGGCAUUUAAGAUUAGAUGAAGAAAAUCCAAUAAUGAACCGGAGAAGCAUCGAACAAUCCCAAUAAAAGUAGAACUCCAAAACCAAUAAAGACAAGGAUUGAAAUAAAUAAGGAUUUUGGGUUUUUCGUGAGUUUUGUGAGUUUUGUGAAUGUUUUAGGACAGUGGCUUAUAGGUUUCUUAGGUUUUUUUGGCUGCGGUCACUUUAUAUAUGAGUUAGCAGCAAAUUCCUGUUUCUCAAUCGCUUGAACAAUUGGAAAAAUGAGAGUAUAUGAUAUUAAUUUAUUUUUAAAAAAAAUGGAUAUAAAUUUCAUUUGUAAAGAAAAACUUUUGAAUUUUUGUGACCGGAAACAAUGUUUCAUUUGAGAUAUAAUUAAUUUUUUAAUGUAUAAUUUCAUAUGUUCUUCCAAUCAAGCAAGUGACCAACGAUUGUCGCCAAAACAAGACGUAUAGAUUAGAGACUUACAGUCAAAAGCAAGUGACCAAUGAUUGUCGUCAAAGCAAGAAGUAUAGAUUAGAGACUUACAGGAUCAGGUGGGAACUUGACAAGCCUCGCGGUUACUAAGCUUUCAAAAGUGCGGCGCCCGAUCACCUGUGUUUUGUGUAGAACUGAAAGUUUAAUGCGGCCGACUUUAAAUAGGUCAAGAACUUUAUAUUUAAGGUUAAGAUUUGGAGCAAAAUAUUAUUAUUCAAGAUUUUGUUCUCCGUGUUUAAGCUUAUAAACAAGAGACAUUCCAUAAAUGAUUCAAUUUGGCAUUCUUGCAAAAUCUUUCUCUUUAAACUUGUUAAAGGAGAACAGCCUACUAGAAUUUAAAAGUACUUCAAUAAGAUUAUUAGAUUGAGGAAAAUUACUAGACUGAGACAUAGUUUAAUAACCUAAUUGAUGAAAAGGCUAAAAUAUGAAGUGCAUAAGUUCAUUUUUCAGUGUCUCUCAUGCACAUAUGCUAGAAAACUUGAAAGAUACGAUAUACUUUCAUAUAUGAAAAAGGCAAAGCAUCAUCUUACAAGUUUAUUAGCCAUAUCGAGAAUUCAAUACUUUCAUAAAUAAGGGCUUAUUAUGACUUCUAGACAUGAAUGAGUAUUUUAAAGAUAAUAUUGAUUUAGGUGGAGGAGGUGUUGUUUGAGAGAUCAUAAUGAAUCAUGACAUUUAGUAGGGGUAAUAGGUCCUGCCCAAAGUUUGGAACUGUUACAACAAUUUUGGUCAAAGUUCGGUUAUAUUUCAGACUUUUUUCUCUUUUAAAAAACGUAUUUGGGGAGAGUCUCAAAGCAGAGUGUAAUAAAAACACACUGAAGCGAUUUGUUGGGGUGAAAGUACUUGAAACAUAAUCAUAAGUCCUGUCAAUUUGGACAUACAAGUAGGCGUUGGGUGAAGUUUUGUUUUGGGAUGUGAACUCAGAAAAUAAAAUGCUAAUCAAAAUAAAAGUAAUUGACUAAAAAAACUAAUCAAAACUGCUCAUCUAAAAAAACUAUUACACUUCUUUAAAAAAUUAAAUAGAUUUUUUGUUUUUUUAGAUGAAGCGUUUUUAUAACCGUAAGUCCCGUUAAUUUUGCUUUUUAGAUAAAGCAUUUUUAUAUAUAUGUACAGUUAAAGACAAUGCAGAUUCAUGUGGAGGAGGUGGUCGUCUGAGAAGUCAUAAUGAAAAUAUAAUCAUUACAUUUAGCAGUGUUUUAAAAAGUAUUUUGGGGCGAGUCUCGAAGUGGAGCUUGAUAAAAAGUCACUAAGGCAAUUUGUUGAGGUAAAAGUACUCUGAGACCUAAUCAUAAGCCUCUGUCAAUUUGAACAUAUGAGUAGGUGUUGGAUGAAUUUUUAUUUUGGGAUGUGAGCUCUGAAAAUCUCUCCUAAAUAAAAUUAAAAGUUCUAAGUAAAUCCUUAAAUUAAUAUCAAAAGGCCACAAAAUUCGACUUGUUAUAAAAAAUUUAAAAAUUAAGAAAAAUUUAAAUUUAAAUAUUUUUUAUUCUUAGCUCUAAUUUUAUUCUCUCUCUUCGUCUUUCACCAUGUAAAGGAGAAAAAUUAUCAAUAUGCAAAUUACAAAGUAAAAAAUGCAUCAUUCUUCGUCACUUAUUCUGAUAGGAUACUUCUCAUGAGUCCGGAGUCAAAAGGGCAAAAAAAAAAUUGUCAAAAAUUCUAAAAGGGCACAUCAAAUUUUUUUUAACCAAAAGGGCAAAAUCGCUUCUGACCGAGUGAUUUUGAAUUGACGCCGUUACUCCGUUAGAAAACAUAAAAAUCACUGCGAGUGAUUUCAUUCAAAAAAAAAAUUCUUAAAAUCGUUGUUGUGGCAGCGAUUUUGUCAAAGAAAUUUUUUUAACAACCUGCCCCUACAGCGUUUUUCUCAAAAAAAAAAAAAAAUUGAAAUAGCUGCUAUAUUUUCUUUAAAAAGUUUUAAAUUUUUUUAAAAAAAUCACUGCUUUCUUCAAGGGAACAAUAUAUUUAAAAUGCAAAAAAAAAAAAAAUUAAUGAAAUCGCUGCCUUGCAAGUGAUUUUAAAAAAAAAUAUUUCACUUUUUAAAGAAAAUCGCUGCUAUUUUCAAUAUUAAAAGCUAUUUUUUGAGAAAUCGCUGCAGGGGGGCGGCGAUGUUAAAAAAAAUAAUUAACAGAGUAACGACGUCAAUUUUGUCAGAAGGAAAUCGCUCCGUCAGGAGCGAUUUUACCCUUUUGGUUAAAAAAAAUAAUUAGUGUCCCCUUUUGAAAUACUAACAUUCAGCUCCUUUUGGGGAUAUUAAUAAUGAUAUGUUUAAUGUAAUUAUUAAAUCGAAUUCAUACCGUAAUUCAUAUCAUCAAUAACUAGACUAUUUGAAUUAUUCACUAAUUGUGAUUGAUGUCAUCAAUAAAAAGAAAAAAAGGUCUUCGCAUAUGCAAAUUAAGAGCAUUUUAGAAAAGAUUGAUACUUUGAAAGGGAAAAACAAUUAUAUUUUGCUCACUAUUAUAAAGAGACAAAUAUCAUUGGAGAUAUAAUGGCUAACGGAAACCUAAAUAUUUUACCUUGAAAUAAUUAAUAAAAUUAUUACAUAUAUUGAUGACUCAGUUGUUUGCAAAUAUCAUCUCUGCCAUCAAAUUUUAGAAACAUAUAUUUUUAAAUGUUACAAUUUCCUUUAGAAAUAAAUCAUAAUCAAAUUCCUCGCUACAUGCCUUUUCGGGAUUAUUGUGAUGUAUAAAUCAAUUUGUGUGCACCUCGAGUAAUUUCUUGAGGUACCUACUACCUCCAACAGGCUUAAUCACAGCCUUCUAAACUCGGUGGAUAAUGGACCCGCCCCUUUUCCCUUCUCCACUUAAAUACCAGGCUUUGCUUUGCAUGGUGUGGGAAACAUUUUGCAUUUAACCUUUGAAAAGGUGUCUAUUUAAGUCUAUCAAAGUUAUAAGGAUUUCAUUGCUGAAAACUAAGCCCAUCAACUCAAUAAUACAAUUGUUUUGCUUUCACAGUUACUUUUGUAUUUUACCAGCUAACAUAAUAACCUAGCUUAACUAGAUAAUAAAGGGUAUCCUAUCGAUGUUUUUGACAUAGCUUACCUACAUAAUACAUGUACAUUACAAUGAUAAACAUACAUUCCUCUCACCAUCUACACUGCCAAGCACUGUGCAAGAUCAUAAAAGUAGCCCGACAAUGCGGAUGGAACCAACGACGCUCUUUCUUUGUUAUUGAUGCCAAAUGAAAAUGUAUUUUGGAUAUGAUAUGAAGCUUUUAUACACAUCCUUGGUCCACCAUACCACUGGCGAUCGUUAGGAAAGCAGAGAUCACUGCUCCAUGGACCAAUGCCCUGCAAAUAAAAGGAAACGACAACCUAUUGAACUGAACGACAUUUGAAUAAGAAAAAUAUCUACUCAGGCAACACCUAUCACGGGAACAAUUUCCUUCUAACCGUUAAUUUAAAUUAGUGUAUGCAUCUAUUUACUAAAUCUGCAAGAAUGGGGAUAAUUACCCAUGCGAAUUUUUGUGGUGUCAGUUUUAGAAACUUACUCUGGACUUUCCUUUUGAUAACCAAAAUCAGUUGCUGCUUUCAGGGCUCUCUGGUAAGUCUGUUUCAUAGCCUCCUGCAGAAAGCAAGAGAUCCAACUUCACUGUUAACUAGGAAUGACAUUUGCAACAAAAUGGAAAACAGAACAAUAGAAGCACCUGCAGGAGAAAAAGAUGCUGCUAGCAUGCUACUAUAUAGAACCUCAUCUUGAGACAAUUAGUGUUGGCUUACAGAAUAUUUAAGGUCAAGAAGGAUGAUAAAAUACUGCAUGAAGAUGAAUAACAUGGGGAUAUUCUCGAAAAAACUGACUCCAGCAAACGUUAAUUUUGUUGGCUAGACAAGUAGGAAAGCAUAACAAGUUUAGUUGAUUGGCACUUGCUCCAACUGCAUAUAUUUGAUCAUCACAUUCAAACUGAGAAGUUUGAUCACAUUGACACCUCUAACUGUUGCCCUCUCCCCCCAUAACCAAAAGGUAAAAGAAAAACCCCAGUUCUGCAUCAAGAUGUAAGUGUUAACCUGUAAUUUAGACUCAAAAUCCUCUGGAGACCAGUUCAAAUUGCACUCUUUCAGUUCAAGUUCCCCUGCAACAACCUGCAAUGGAUAGUAAGAACUUUUAUCAAUCUAAGAAAUGUACACAAACAAGUUGCAGCAAAGUCACUCCACAACAGAAGAAAAUACGGGAAACCUAGUCAAAUAUUAGAGCAUGGCUAGAUAUAAUGUUGAUACAAAUUGGUGCUUCGUGGUUGUUGCAUUAACUUGCUAAGCUUCUGUCUAAAACAAGCUUCAUAAAACUACAACUUCACAAGCUCUAUCUCAUAAAGGAAAUGUCAAAAUAAGAUGCCAAUAAAGGAAAAGAUGAUAAAGUAAAAAGAAGAUGAUGAAAGAAAUUGGAAAUGAAUCUUUUGAGGACAUCAAAAAAGUGACACGCCCUCGUGGAAAGCCAGUGAACUGCAGGACAGACUCCGAAAUUAUUUCCUGUGUAAACAUAAAACUGGGAUCAGAUGAAGAGAAUGUGGCUUCCUUCUCCCAUUUCCAUCAUGAGUUCACGGGAAUGAACCUUUUUCUUCCCAGUUACCAAGAUGAUUCAUCCUUAGCCUUCCCAAUACAAUCCAUCAACAAGGUCAAUAUUACAGUUUGAAUACCUACUUUAGCACUAUAUCUUGCCCAUGUUGGCAGAUUCAAUGCCAGUAUUAGUGCCACGGGGAAGCAUAAGCUCACUUUGAACUAAAGCAAAAGAUAGUAGAAUGUCAUAAUGCUAAAUCUUCAAAUCCCUAUAUACAUAGAAAAAAAUGACUUCCGAAGCAAAUUCAGGUAGUGCUUGCCAUUUUUCAACAAAUGAGAUACACGUAUCAUGAAAAGAGAGUAGUCGAGAACAGAGGAUCCUACCCCUCCCACACCAGCAGCCAUAGAAGGAGCAACUAGGACAUUAGCUUUUCUCAAAACGUCUACUGCUUCAGCAGUACAUGGCAUAUUGGAGCCUACAAAUGAACGGCAAUACAGUUAAAAGUGAUAAAAUUAAAACACGCCAAUUACCCCACUCAUUAAUCAUUAUACAGGUAGGAUGAUGGCCAAUAAUCACAAACAAGUGAGAAUGAUAACACGAUGUUGACCAAUACCUUCUACAAGUAUACGGCAACCAGAGUUAACCAAGUUAAUGGCGUCAGAUUGAUUAAUUUCAUUCUGUGAGGCACAGGGGAAUGCAACAUCAAACCUUUCACUCCAAGGCUUAGCUUCAUCAUAGUACUUUGAGCGAGCAUAAGUCUUUGAGUAGUCUCUGCAAAUAUUACUUAUAAGUAUGCCAUUUAUUCAAAACUUUUAAGGUAUUUGUCUGCACAGCUAUUGUGAAAACAAAAGGAAAAAAAAAAACCUUAAGCUUCUCUGCUGAGCUUUGAUGUCUCUCAGGAAAGAUAUCUUCAAGAAAUCAAAUCCAUCAUCAUCCACCAGAUAACCCUUUGCAUCUGUAAAAUCGUAAUUUGCAAACUUAAUAAUUUAAGUAUUGGAUUGUAUCUGCACCAUAUAAGUGGUGUAAUGAGCUUUGAUUCUCACCUUCCAGAAGAGAAUCUAUUACAAGCAUAAACUGAUUGCUCAGUAAUCCCUCUAUGGUAAGCUCUAAGCCAAGCAAUAAUAUUCAGUUGAACAAGGCAGGUUGCAGACUGUACCAAUUGAUAUUGGAAUACAGAAUUUUUUAAUGGAAUACCUCUCAGACUCAGAGGCGGAUCUAACCUUAAAGCAUGUGAACCUAGUAGCUUUUACUCAAACAUUGUAUGUGUAUUAACAAAUUCACUAAAUACCUAUAAAUAUUUAACUGUGAACUCAACUAUAUUAACUUGUGGUCAUUAUAGGAAGAUAUAAACUUCAAAUACUGGAUCCACCUCUGUGCUCAGUAGUCAUGCAAGCUGAAAACAUUUCAGAAGAAAUCAGAAAGUUUACCAGAUACGGUGAUGGGAACGGCCCCAUAAGCAAUAAGCUUCUCUAGGACAUGCAUUGCAAUCUUUCCAGAACCGCUAACUGCACACCUGUACAUACAGACAAGGGUAAACCAGAGGAAUUAUUACAAAGCCACACAUUACUCGAAGAAAGAAGGGACAAAGCCAAAGAGAACAAUAAGUUUAGUGAACAAUCUCAAUUUUUAGGCUACUGUGGGUGUUCUUCCCAUCAUGUUUAAUUUCUUUUUGAUCGAUUCAUCCCAAAACAAAGUGGCCAAACAGAUUUUUGCAUUGGCUAAAUUGAAAUUGUUCCAGUGAAUGCUUUAAACUAUUGACUUCAUCUUACUCGAUCUACACGACCUUUUCCAUCAGCACAGUAAAACACAUAGACCCUAAGAAUUACUUCAUCACCAAAAUCACAGACGGAAAAACUGAAGUCAGGAUAACGAGUAAAAAUACAGUUGCCGCGUGCCAUAUCAUCAGUAGCUAUGAAGCUCAAAAUAGAUAUUUAUCAAUGAUAAUCAUAAAGACGAAAGAAACUAAGACUUAAAAGGCAAUAUGAUGGGAGGAAACUGCUAAUGGACAUUACAGUACUUUGAUGCCAAGGUGCAAUAGAAACAGUCACACAAAAUACUUCUCAUACAUCAGCAAACAUAAAGCGCAAACAGCUUUUCUUUUCUACUUUGAUACCUGCCUAUGUAAAAUUGCAAAUAGUUUCGAAGCCCAUAAAUAUGUCUUGGAGAGGGCAGGUUAAGAUGACCUAAUAAAGUGCUACCUAUGGUGUGUAUACUUAAAACUAUUAAUAAGGGUGUUAAGAAGAUAAUUUCUCAAAAUAUGCACAAGAUUUGUCAAAAUGCUGGCUUUUAAUAUCCAUUUAAUUGGACCUCUAUGUAUUCCGGAUUUUGAUAAAUGUUCAAGUGUCUGUGAAACCAUCUAGCUUUCAGACUGGAAGAUCCAUACAAGAACUCAAACUGAAGGCUGUAAAUUAUGACAAAUGGAGUGGGAAAGUAUAAAUAUCUACAUGCUACCAAUUCAUGUUUUCUGACAAAGAUCUCCAUGAACUUCUAGCAGGCUUACCACUUUUCAGCUGCACCCAUGAUGUAGGUAUUCUUAUAAUGGCAAACAGAUCCACUGAUAUUGCCAUUAAUGAAGAUCAGUAAAAUAAACCCCAAAUAUUAGGCUAUUUUUCUCUUAUAUUUCUGAUUUCACAGACAAAGAAAUCUGUAAUUGAAGGGAUGGUACCUUAAUCCUUUUAGUUCUUUGUUCAUGUCUGCAAGCAUAAGCUGUGCAAAGAAAACCUGAAAAUUGCAAGACAAAUUAGUUGGCAGGAACUAGACAAGUAUUUAACAAUGCAAAACAACCAGAGAAAAAAAAGAGACUUCACCAAUCCGUAGCCAGUAGCCUCAGUUCGAAGACUGGAGCCUGACCAAUUUACUCUAGGUCCUGUAAAACUUCCCUGCAUAACAUGAAAUGUGUAAAAUUCAGUAAUUCAUAUAACUAUUUUUUUAUGAUAAAGGAAACCCGCAGCCGCUACCCUUUGGGUGAGCACGGGGUAAAACCCCCGCUCCUAUGCAAUAGCUCGCAAACUACAUAGGAGCGGUAAUCCGCACUAGGCAAGCCCGGUGCGACGAGCUCGACCCAAAAGGCAAACCCCUUGCUUCGCUGGCAAGGGGUUUCAAACUUGAGACCCUCCAACAUGGAAAUCCCAAGCCCAAACCACUGGGCCACCUCGAAGGGUUCAGUAAUUCAUUUAACUAUAACUGAAAGGAAAGAGAGAGGAGAAAGGGAAAGGAGAAUGUUUAUAAUCAUUUGGAUGAUGCACAAUAUUUAGUCCAACGAAAAAGGUUUAAAGUAAACUUAUUUUUUUGAUAAUAAGGUUUAAAGUAAACUUAUUCAAAGACACCAAAUCUGGUGUUUCAGGCAUGAAGAAAUGUUUAUCAAGAAAAGGUAAAUGUAUUAUAUGUAUAGCACCAAGAAGGUGCUGUCAAAAGUACUAACAAACUAUCUUUUUCUAUUCCUAAAGUGAUUCUAUAAGUUCUAUCACUUUUUAUCAUCAUCAUUAACAUAACUCUGUUUACACCAAAAAAUAAAACAAAUGUAAACAGCUCAUUUUGAUCUUUCCAAUGGACUCUUAAAGAAAUGUUGAUUAUCUAGUCUUAACAUCUUAGCAACAUCAAGUGCUUCAGGACUAUGCGUUAUCUAUAUGAUUGGCACAGCUCUUAACAGGUGUUACCAUGACCAUAUAGUCAAUUAGAGACGUGUAUAGAAACAAACAAACAAGAAAAUGAAAAAAAUAACACUAGUCAUACGGAGAUGCUUUAUCUAGAAGAGUUAGAACCCCUAAAGGAAAGGACUAAAACCGCUGCAAAAUUGUUACCAGUAUCUUAACUUAUUACAAAGACAGCCAAACAACUUCCAUAUACAUACUUGCAAACCAAUACUUACUACGAACAUUUUAUGUUACAUCAAGGAUAAUAAGCUAGAUCUACCUGUUUAUCAAUAAUAAAGAGCCACUUAGCAUAUGUGAAUCAUUAGCUAAUUUUGGAAGUAUUUUUACUGCUUUCCUACUUUAAAGUUUCCUAAUUUAAAAGUUUCUUAAUUUAAAGUUUCCUAGUUAGAUUUUUAGUAGAAUUUGAAGCUCAUGCUAUUUGGGAUAUGUUGUCCCUAUAUAUGUAGGGAUGAAUUUUGUUAUUUUCAAAAGCCAUGAUUAAUAUUUUUUGAGAGUUUUCUCUUCUUUUACACCUUUGUGUGUGGUGACUAUGGAUUUAUAUUCUUCAAGAGUUGAGAUUAAUUCUUAACUUGAUAUCUUUGGUAUCUAUUAAAGAAAUUAGUCUUAUACUAAUUGUUGUCUCUAAUUUCUACGAAAUAGGGAUCCAGAUCACUUUUUAUCUAAGUUCUUAGUUUACUCUAUUAGUAUCAUAAUUAGCUUUUAUCCAUUAUUUUUUAAAAACUAAGAUCAAUUAGGGUUCUUCGCACUUGAUUUCAAAAUUUUGGGAUUUUGUUCGCAAAUUUCGCCUAUCUUUGAUUUCUUGCCUUUAAUCUUAGUAUUUCCGCUUCCGCAUUAUUUUCUUGUUUAUUCAAGUAACCUGAUUCUUAUCAAAUCCCUAUUAUAAAAAAGAAUGGGGUUACUAAAUAUCCCACUUACUUCUAGUGGUUACUCAUGAAUUUGUUUCCCAUCUUUAGUCCUUUCAAUUCAUUCACCCCAUUCCUUUUAUUGACUUCUUGCUCCUGUUGCUUGCCUAUAUUCUAUUGCCUCUUGCCGUUAUGAUUUAAAACCUGCAUUGUAAUAAAUCCUAUUUUCCCCCAUUAUAAUGUCGUAGAAUUUAAAACCUGCAUUGUUAUGAAUCUUAUCUUCCUCCGUUAUAAUGUUCCGGCCUAACUACCGCAAAAAAAAAAUGUAAAUGUUGUUGGAGUGAAAUCAACCUAGAAAGGCCUAACCUCGAAAAGUAUGCCUGAGAGCAUUUUAUCUAAGGGGGUUGUCUUUGGUUUUGCAGAUUUGAACAUAACAUCAUAAUGCUAACUUAACACAAAAGCAAAUAACAUAAUGAUAUGUACUUGUUCAUAUCCUCCCCCCCAAGAGUCAAGACUUUGGUCUAGUGGUAAGAGCGCAACAUUGAUGUGUCACGUCACAGAUUCAAACCUUAUAAAAUAUAAAAACUUCGUAUUUAAGAGGAGAAUGUUAGAGGGGUGGGUGGAUUAUCGACGAGUUUAGAACUGUGCGUUACUGGCCCUCGGGGAACUUACAGUUGAAAAAUGAAAAAAAUAAUCCACCACCUCCUCCUCCUCUCUUUUUUUUUCUUCUAUUUUUUGCCUUUUUUGAGUUAAAAUAUCUGAACAUUAAGCUUAGCAUAAUGUUCUGCUGUCAUCCCGUGAAAUUCAGCAAAUUUCAUAUAUGUGAAUUAUCAGCCUCUUGAUUCUUGUAUAUGUUUUAAGGAAAUUAGCUCGUCUGGACUUGACCAUUCUUAUCCAUUGCCACACUAGAUGCAGGAAAAGAAAGAAAUUGGAGGACCAGAAGGAUAAGAUCUUAAAUAUCAGAAAAUUAAUCAUCUUCACCUGUGAAUGACCCGCCAGUCGGCGAUAUUGUCCAUGCAAAAAGCCCAUUUCUCGAGUACCAACACCCAUCUCCUCCGAAGGAAGAUCCUACAUGAUCAGACGAUAAAUCAAACUACAGAAUUUAGAUCUGAUUUGACAGGAAACUGAAAGUGAAAACAGAUGUAGACAUAAGUAUUUAGCUACCUUUUCAGGACCCAAAUAACGAUACAGUUCAUUCAUAAAACUCUGACAAAAUCGCAUAACCUACAGUGAAGAAGGCAGAAAAUAGAAGAUUUUAGAAAAACAACAACAACAACAACUACUACUACUACUACUACUACGCCACAAUGCAAUAAAAAAUUUGGGGACCAUUAUAGAAGAAAGUCUAACGCUUGAAAUAAACUUGUGACUAGAAAUCAACAUGGUUAAACGAUAAGCAUAUACCUCACCAUCACUUUUGCUUUUAGGAUCAAAAUCACUUCCACCUGAAGAACCCCCAAGUCGGUAAGGCGACAAGGCAUUUUUCAAAGUCUACCAGACGAGAGCAAAUCAAACAUUAUGAGAAGCAGCAUACUUUUUCAACUCAACUUCACACUACACCUUCAUCAAAAAGAUUAGAUGGGAAAAAGAUACAGCAAUCGCUUGUACACUAUAGAGCAAAUAUACACACAUUAUAAGUGUUCUGAAGUAAAAUUAAAAGACUAAGAUAGAUGGCAGAAAAUCACCUGUCCAAAGCUAAGAAAUUUGGCAAUACUCAGGUUCAUUGAUGGAUGGAACCGGAGACCACCCCUGCACGGACCUAGAGUCUGAUUAAAAUGAACCCGAAACCCUCGGUUCACAUGCGUCUCACCCCUAUCAUCAACCCACGGCACUCGAAAAACAAUUGUGCGCUCAGGUUCUAAUAACCGCUCCAUGGUGCUUACAUAACUAACACAGAGUAAAGUUUCCUUAUCAGAGUUGUAAUGAUUACUCUUCAUACAUAUGGUUUACGUUCAAGACACUUACCUUGAGUUCUUUGAAAUGACUCUUUCUAAAGCGUGAAUCGCUUCUUGAACAGACUGUAUGAAUUCUAGCUCAUGAGGAUCCCUUUUCAGUGCAGCUUCAAUAAUCGAUCCAGCCGUUUUUGACAUAAGAGCUUUUAAGAGAUUUCAACAGCAAUGAAGAAGUUAGAGAAAUAUCUCAGUCUCUCGGAAAAAAAUCCGACACCCACAAAAAAAGAAACAAGAAUGAUUUGUGAAAUGACUAUGUAUUCUUGAGUGAAAAUAUGUGUGUGAGCUUUGGAGAUGAGACAAAUUGAUUUCAGUGGUUAUUGUUUUUCUUUUACAAAACAGCGCACAUAGAAUUAAACAAAGAUGGGCCCAUGAUGAGAAACUACACUUGUCACAAAUUUACAACCCCAUCCAUCAAUAUGGAAUAGAAGACCAAAACCAACUCUCGACUCGGCCAUACUUGAUGUCACACAAAUACUUCUCAACAUAAGGGUCAAUGUAGUAUGUUAAUUAAUUUGUUUCCCUAUUCAAUAGUCAUACAAAUUCAUGCCAGCAUACUGGAUAAAGCCUGUUCUAGAAACUUCUAGACUUUCCCAUAAUGCUUAUUGUAUUUGUUUAGUUGGCUCAAUCAGGCCCCUGUAACUAGUUGUGUUCAAUUUUUGGAUUGUGUCUGCUCCUUGGUGAUGGAAGUUCUUUGGUGUAUAUGAGCAGGCACUAUCUCCCUUUCUUGCAAUCUUUUGCUUGCAUCGUCUGGAUGAUUUUUGCUGAAUUACCCUUACUUCAUCGAAAAGGCUUAUGUGGGAAGAUGUCCCUGGAGAUUGGCCCAAGUGGUAACAGUGUAUUGUGUGAUGUGUGGGUUAGGUGCACAUCAUGGUUUUGAACCUGUACAUAAGUGAAGGGUAGAGGAGUAGACCAUUAGCCACCAUGUUUGAACCGUGCACCAUUGGCUCCAGGGAUUUCUCAGUUACCAAAAAAUGAGAAAAAAAAUAUGUUGAAAGAUUUACAAGUUCUUGCUUAAAUAUUAACAAAUUAGCUCUGCUCUUAGCACUGACAUCAAACCCAUAUAGCUCAAUUUAAGUGGGGGGAAGGCUGGAGUCUAUGAACUCCUCUAGGAAAAAAGACAAAUUAUGAUCACUGAAAAUACGGUUUCUGCAUCAGUGGAGAUUUGAACCAUGUAUAAUAGAUGAAUUUCUGAAGCUAUCAUCAAUAUACCAAAAGAGGAGGUCCGUAGUAAAGAGUUAACAUAUUCUUGAAAAGGUGUUGAUAAAUUAAAUAAACAAUGCUUUAGAAGUCUCAUACAAUUUUUAAGAUAAAAAAAAAAGUGAAAAGGACAAGGUGGAUACAACCACCAAGAAAACUAAAAAAGGAAAUUACCUUUAACAUACAAAGGUUUAUCAACAACAAUCUUAUCUUUGGAUGCCAUUUGGAGACGAAGAGCUUCUUUGUGAAGUAAACUAUUAUUAUGCUCCUCCAGAGCACUCAUCUGCAUGUUUCGGCUGCCUUCAUUUCCAUAUGGAUUCCUCCUAUGCUUCCUACCAUAUUCUCUGCAAACAGAGCAAAAUAUCCUUGCUGUGCCAUCUUUCACAUCAACAUAUGCCCAUUUAUACGUAUCUGCCCACUCCUCUCUCCAUCUUUUAACGACCUUCUUUUUCUUUUUCGCUGGUUGCGUCUUCAACAAGUCCUGAUUCCCACCGGAAGCCUGAUGAAUCAUCAUCUGCUUGCUCUCAUCAUGGUCUUCGGCUGCAGAUUCUUGUGGUGGAACAUUAAUCAAAGUAUUAUUACUAAAUGAAGGGUCAUCAUCCCCAGGUCCUAUUUCCAAAUCAAUCUCUUCUCCUAUCUCUCUCACUACAAGAUGAUGCCUCUGAGCCUGAUGGAUUAAGUUCAUGUCAUCCAUUGUAGAAUUCAUCCCACCCCCACCAGUUGGAAGUAGCAUUCAGCAUGACAAUUUAUAUACAGUAUGAUUCGGCCAGCUUGCUGCAAACAUAAUACACACUAAUAAAUCUACUUGAUUAAAUCUCAAAAUGCUCCAAUACCAGUGCGCAUUAAGAGUUGAACAGUUAAUCAUAAAUUGAAAAGCAUACUGAAUUUUCUUCUCCGUGUUCAGGGUCAGAAUUUUGGAGGCUAAGUGUUUGCCUAUCUCCUACCUCUAUUUACUUUCAGAUCAGGCUCUACAAUCGCCGUUAGGUAAAAUAAGAAAUAAAAGAGGGGACCAAGGAAGAAGGAGAAACCAGUUGGCUUGAGAUUAUCAACAAAGCAUUCUUCAUGACCUACCAACUUUAUAAAUGCAGUAGCAAAUCCUAGAAAAAAUCAAUUUUCAGUAGUAUACACUCAAAAUUUGUUAUUGAAUAAACAUCGGGUAUUCUUAUUCAUGAAAAGGAAUUGUAUUGCACAUAUACUACUUCCAAAAUUUCCUAGUUACUAUGGACUUGAGACGAAGUGUCCUCAUGAGUAAUAUGAGAAGCUAAUUGUAGUAGGAAGGAUUUAAUAUUAAACUGACAACGAAGAACAAGGAGGGAAGAGUUAAAUAGAAAAUCAUAGCUUAAGUACUAUGCCAUAUGUUGCUGAAGACAAUGUACUUACAACAAGAUUGUUUAAGAAGACGCAAAUUAAACUUGAUUGUAACUCAUCUUAGCUCAAUUUCAAGAAAAACAUUCCUAAUAAUUAUUAAAGACAGUUAUGAACACUAUGGUCUACAUCACUCGAUGGAAAUACAGUUACCAAUUAUGUUAGUUCUAUUACUCAAUGUACUUGGUCAAUACAAGAAAUUGAGGUGCAAUUAAGGGGAAAGGAAGCAUUUCAGAGGUAAAUGCAUAUCUCCUAACUAUAACAAUAGCAUAAGGAGGCGCUGCUGGUGGUCUUCUAAGGCAAAAAUGAGGAAAGGGGAGACAUAAUUAAAGAAAUUGAUUACUGAUUUAAAUCAAGACGGGGAGAAAUAUAUUUAUGCCUCAUUCAUUGCAUUGAUCCUAAAUGAAAGGGGCAAUUGAGAUCAAGGAUUACAGACCAAUCAGCCUUAUAAACAGUGUUUACAAGAUUGCUUCUAAGCUUUUGGCAAGAAGACUUGAAACUGUUACUUGAAGCUAGUCUCUGGUAGCCAGAAUGCCUUUGUCAAGGGAAGGCAAAUCACUGAUGCAUCCUUAUUGCUAACGAGGCAAUGGACUGGAGACUCAAAAGUGGAAAGCCAGGGGUGCUGUUCAAAUUGGAUAUUGAAAAAGUUUUUGACAAAGUGAGUUGGUCCUAUUUGAUCAAUAUGUUGAGACACACGGGAUUUGAGGAAAGAUGGUUAAGAUGGAUUAAAUUUUGUAUCUCAACUGUCAAACACUCUGUUUUGGUAAAUAGGGGGCUUGUGGGGUUCUUCUCUCCUCAAAGAAGCAUCAGGCAAGGUGACCCUAUUUCACCUUUCCUCUUUAUUCUUGUCAUGGAAAGGCAUAGUAAAAUGCUACAAAAAUCCAGGCAGCUUCACUGGAUAGAGGGCUUCAAAAUAGUAAGGAAUAAUGGGUCCCAAGCUACAGUUUCACAUUUGCUUUAUGCAGAUUACACUCUGGUCAUCUGUGGAGCUGAGAGAUCCCAAGUGAUCCACCUAAAUCUAAUUUUGUCUAUUUUUGAAGCUAUCUCAGGGCUACACAUGAACAUGCAAAACAGUAGCAUAUUCCCCGUAAAUGAAGUUGCCAAUCUGGAAGAAUUGGCAGGCCUUAUGGGCUGCAAUAUUGGCUCUUUUCCUUUUAGCUACCUUGGUCUUCCUUGGGUGCUAAAUCCAGUUCCAUACACAUUUGGAAUGGGAUAAUUGAGAAAUUUGAGAAGAGGUUGGCCACCUGGCAGAUGCAAUACCAAUCCUUUGGAUGGAUGAAGACUAACACUAAUCAAUAGUGUUCUGGACUAGAUCAUUAGUCCAGAAAGCUUUCAAGGAAAACAUACAGAGUUGGGCUGUGGAAAGGCAUCAGGAAACUUUAGAGCACCUUUGCUCAGAACACUCAUUUGGCGGCACGGAAUGGCUCUCUUAUAUGAUUUUGGAAGAACAAAUGGUUAGGAAAUUCCAACAUCCAGGAAGCAUUUCCAAACCUUUUAACUCUUGCCCAAGAUCCUGAUGUUGUCAUAGUAUCACACAGAGAAGGGGCUGACUGGAACCUCCAACUUAGAAGGGAUUUGUAUGACUGAGAAUUAUAUGAGCUGCUAGACCUCUACACUAGUCUACAACAAAGCAACCUGAGUCCAUCGGUAGCAGACAGACUUAAAUGCGGCAAUCAAGCAGGUGGCAUCUUCUGUGUUAAGUUGAGCUACCAGAAAAUGUGCUCUUGCAAUCCCCUGCUUGACAACUGGCCUUGGAAGCUCAUAUGGAAAGCAAAAAUUCCACCCAAGGUCAUUUCUUUCACCUGGACAGUCCUGAAUGAGGAAUGCCUCACUCAGGAUAAUCUGAUAAAGAGGAAAAUUCAAUUCACUCACAGAUGCUAUAUGCGUAAAGUGGAAGCUGAAAUCCCUGGCCAUCUUUUUGCUUCAGAUCUAUGGAGCAUGUUUUUGUGCAUUUAUGGCCUCAAAUGGAUCACUCCUCACUCAUUAAGGGAAGCAUACUUGAGUUGGUGCUUAUGGAGAGUUGAUAAAUCCAUCAAGCACAAAUGGAGAAUGAUACUUGCUUGCAUUUUUUGGAGUAUUUCGACAGAAAAGAAUAGGAAAUGUUUUGAAGGGAUCUCAACUCCUAUAGGCUCUAUAUAUUUAUUUUGAAAUAGGUGACUUUAACUCCUAUAGGCUCUAUAAAAGCUAAAUGUAUGGCUAGUCUAUUUUGCUGGUUCAGUUUAUUCCCAUCUAAUAGUUCAGAUCAACAAUUAGACUUCAGUAGUUCCCUAGCUCUGGCAUAGACAGUUUUUGUGUAGGAGCGAGAUGUUUCUGUAAGCUUCAAUGUCAUAUCUUGUAACUACUGCAUCUUUCAAAGAUAUCACUUGCUUCAUCAAAGAAACAAAAGCUCAACUAUUAGGCAAUUCGAGCUGCACACUUCUACCUGCGUAAACUUGGACCUAAAACCAUUCAGCUUCAUGGAUAUAUACAUCACACUAUACAACUUCUAGCCCUUCUAUUGAGCUAUUUUAAGCUUUCUACUCAUCAAUUCAACUCAAUUUUCUAUUAUAGAGAGAAAAAAAAAGAGUCCAAAGCUUCACACGAAUGCUAUGCAUAAAACCUGAAUAGAAAUUAAAUAAAAAAGAUACAAUCUUUAAGAUGCCCUCAAAAGACCUAUAUUUCCGCUACCAUCACCUUACACAGAUGAAAGCUUCUCACGCUUUUCUCAGAUAUCAACGUCUACCAAACAAAUAAACCCAGAAUGCAACAUCCCCAAAACAAAAAAAGAACCAAUUGAAAUAAAACAGAAAUGCUGGGGAACCUCAAUUGGGAGUCCUUUUGAGCAAAGCUAAAAAAUGAAAAGACUCUUACUUUUCAAGAACCCACUCAAAUUGGUUUGAUCAGAUUCUUGUUUCAAGCUUUCUGAAAUGUAACUCCCAAGUUUUCCUCUUCUACAAGAGCUGUUUUCCCAUGUCGGUCCAAUUCGCCAGCAAGGUGCCUCCCAGCUGCUACUGGAUAAAGGGUAAUUCCAACUACAGAAUGCUAAAAAUGGGGCAAAACUGAACUUUCUGAAAGAGAGCCGACAAGGUAGUAGUGUCGAAGCAAUUGAAUUUUGCUAUAAAGUUAUCAAUUUGGCGAGUCUAGUGACUCGCUCUCUGCAAUUGGGGGUUUUUUGGGGAAGAAAGGGGGUGAAUAAUGAAGAGAGAAUUUGGAUUCUUUUUGUUGGGAACAAAACAAAAAAUAAAUAAAAUAGGAAUAAGCAUUUUUCAUUUUUGUUCUAUUUUUUAUUUUAUUUUAUUACAAAAUCAUUUCAAGUAUCUAGAUUUAGUUAGCUUUUGAUCAUUAAUUUCGAAUUAGAUUUUAAAAAUUUAUCUUUGAAUAUUUAUUUGGCUAAAAAAAAUUAUUGUAUUUUAGAAAUUUAAUCUUUAAAUAUUUACAGAUUAGCUCAGAUUACUUUUGAAAUUUUGGGACUUUCACUUAUAAGACUAAAAAAAAACUGUAAAUAAAAUAAAUAUUGAAAGACAAUUUUAAAUUCUGAAAAAUAUAAUUUUAAAAACUAUUUUUUUUAAUUUUUUACAUCAAAAUGUUUUAGUCAAGUAAAAGUUUGUCAAGUUAUAGUAUUAGUUGGGUCCACUUUCAUAAAAUAGAAACUUUAUAUUUAUUUUUAUUAAAAUGUUGCAAUAUCAUAUUAGUGAAAAGGGUAUUAGAUAGAAUAGAAACUUUAUAUUUAUUUUUGUCAAAAUGUAUGCAACAUCAUAUUAGUGAAAAGGGUAUUAGAUGAAUUCUAGUAUGUGAUGUGUUAGAUGAUUUUAUUUUAUUUUUGGUAGAGAAUGAUGUGGUGGCAAAAAACUACUUUAGUGAUGAAUAAAAGUUAUUUAAUUAUCAAUAAAUAAUAAUAAUAAUUUUAAACACUUAGAUGAAUCAAAUGGUAUCAUUAUAAGCUAUUAUAAUGAAAAUAAAGUAUGUGGACGUACAUAAUUAUCGAAGGUAAUUAGGGAAGGCAAAUGAGAGUCAAUCGAAAAAUCGAACAGCUAUGAUUGGAACCAUUCAAACGUACAAAUUGCACAAGUGAAGCUGGAAAAUGGACUACAACAUAUGAUGUAUUUGCUCCAUUACCAUCUUCAACUAAAGUAUUUUCUACGAUAGCAUCACAAAUGACGCAUAGCAAAGAAGUGUUCAAUACAUCAACAACUUAUAUCAUGUGAAAUGGGUUAAAGGUCUAAUUAUGAAGCACUUGAAAAUUAAGAUGAAUUUGAAUAUAGUUGCUACACCAAAACUAAGUACACAUAAUCGAUCAAACUGUCUUAGUGGAUCUUUGCAACUUAACGUAUAUAAUGAACUUUGUAUGUAACUCACUAGAGGUACGAAAAACAAAGAGAAGAUAUGUACAAUCGAGAUAUCCAGCAACAAGAAGAAGGAAAAAAAAUUCAACAAUGAAACUCUCAAGCAUUUAACAAUGAUGUGUUGAUAUCAACGAUGAUUCAUUUCAUCAUUUUGUCAAUAGUGAUAAUUGAAAUUUGUUUGUCUCCUAACCAAAUAAAAAUAUUUGAAUGGUUUAAUAUUUUAAUUGAUAAAAAUUAUUAUGUGACGUUAUCAAUGGUUAUAUGCUAUUCAAUACAAUUUAAUUGUGUUAAAGACGUUUAGUUGUUGAUUGAAUAUCAGAAGCUAGCAGUUAAUUGUUUAAAGACUAUAUUAAGGUAUGUUAGUUUUUACUUCAAACAAACAUGUUUGUGGCUGUCGAGUUUUUUUCUCAAAAAAAUUGCCUACAUAAGCAAAUGCCAAACUUUAAACAUUUUGUUUGAUUUUAAAUAUUGUAUAUUGAAUUUUACUUAAAAGUAAAUAAACUUAUAAAUUUUUAUUCACUAUAAAUGUCAAUAUCAUUUAUGUGUGCGUUUAUUUUAGUAGAAUGACGAUGAUAUCAUAAUAGGGAUUAUGAGAAGAAUAAAAUUAAAUAUAAUAUAAGAAUUAAUAAAGCUGAAGAAUAAUUUUAAAAUUAUUUAUAAUGACACUAAUAAUAAUUACACAUCAAUUAUAAAUAAAUUAUUAAUCACGUCAUGUCACUAAUCUCGUAUUUUAAAAUAACAUGACACAAUUAAAAAUUAAGGUGAUAAUUUUUUUUCUAUUUUUUUUUUACUCUGAUAGUACUAAAAGACUCACAAAUAAUAUAUCAUUAGUAAAUGCAUACUGAAAAAUCAUCUUCUCAAUUAAUUGUUUUUUCUUCUGUUGUACUUUAUGAUAUAUUUUAAUAAGAGUUUGUUUGGAUUACUGCUAAAAACUGCUUAUUUCUAUAAACAUUUUUUUAAAAAUGUUUUUGAAAAAAAGUAAUUUGUGUUUGACUAAUUCAUUUGAAAAGUGUCUUUGAUAAGCAAAUAGUGUUUGACUAGUCUUUUAAAAAAAAUGUAUUUGAGAGUCAAAUUACGAAAAAUGGUAAAUAUCAGUGUACUUUUAAAAUUAAGAUUAUUUUAUAGAGAGGAACUAUUUUAAACAUCUAUUAGGAUUUUUUUAAUUAAAAUAUGCAUAUUCGAAUUUUCAAUCAAUAUUAUACAUAAAUAAAUAAAAAUAUUAAUAUAAUACUAACACGAUGACUUAAAUAUAAUUCAAAAUAUCAAGAAAAAUAAAUUUAAAAACUAUUCAACAAAUUAAACCACUAUAUACAAAAAAUUCACCACAAAAAUAAAUAAAGCCCUUCAUAUUUUUAAUCCUACAAAAUGUUGUUGUUACAUUUAUUUAUGAUUCAGUAAAAUAAUAUAUAAAAUUUAAAAUAAUAAUAGUAUAUAAACAUUAAAUAAAAAAAUUAUUAUAUAAAAAUAAAAAAUAAAAUUCUUGUAUGAAACUUAAUCAAAUUUAUGAUAUAUGUUAAUUAAUUAAUAAAAGAUAUAUUGGUAAAUAUGUAUAUAUGGGAGGGAUAUUUCUUCAAGAAAACUAAUUUUUUGCUUAUGCUUUUUUUAUGAAGCAGAAAUUUUUAAGUUCUUCCAACAUCAGAAAAACUGCUUAUGCUUCCAUUUAAAAGCAGUUUUCAGAAUUUACCAAACACUGUUUUUUUUUUAAAAAAGGUACUUUUAUCGCAAAAAAAAACAUUUUUGAUCUUUCAACAACAAUGUCAAACAGGCUCUAAAUCUACCAAGUCCCCUUUUUAAUGCAUUUACCCAUUAUGCAUUUAAAAUUAUGGAUCACAUAUGUUGAUUUAGGACACGAAUAAGUUAUAAUUGUAAGUGUUCUUUCAAUUUAGUUUUGAUGUGUAUCAUUUGCAUCUUUUAUUAGUUGUAAUAUUUUUUGAUCUCAUACAAUUGAAUAUAUUUAUAUCAAACAUUUUCUAUAUUAACAUUUCACUAUAGUAAUGAAGUUUUUUUUUUUUUAACUCGAUUUUCUCUCUCUCUAUACAUGUAUUAUCCUUAUAUAAUAAUAUCUUAAUUACAAUCUUUGUAUUAUCACAUUUCUAUAUCAAAUUUACUCAAUUAUUGGUCAAUUUUGCUUUUCAAUAGAAUGACAUGAGUUUUGAUUGAUUAACAAUUUUUUUGACUUUUGUUUAUAAUUAUAUUAUUUGUAUUUAUGAUUAUAGCACUAGCUAUGAUAAAACUGGUUAUUAAUUUAUUGAUAAUGUAUUAGCUUUUAAAACAACAAUUAUUAGUAAAAGAUGAUUGUCUUUAGAUUUCUUUUAUAACAGUACUUUUUGAAGUAAACACAUAAUUUCUAUCUUAAUUUCGUCUAAGACGAUUAAUAAGAUUUAAACACCAAAUUACAUUAUAGGUGUAUAAUAGUUAUUCCCUAUAGUAGCAAAAAUAAUUUUCUUGAUGUAUAAUCCUAUUAUGAAAUAGUCACUAAAUAAUAUUAUAUAAACAUAUAUUAAUAUACAUAUUUGCAUAUCUAUUAGACUAUUACACUCAUUUUUUAGACAUGUUGCACUCUAGUAAUCCAACAUUAACUUUCAUUUAACGUCAUUUAUUUUAUUAUUGCUCUAUAGAACAUACUUUUAUUUUGAUACUAAUUUUCCUCCAUUUCAACCAUUCUAUAUAUUUUAAUUGUAUAUUAUUUAACAUGGUCAUAUACCAAUCUGUUAUCCUAAUUCCUAAAGCAUCAAACUUGCAUAUUAUAAAAUUAUUUACAUUUUUUAAUGAUGCAGAUUCAUAUAAUUUUGCCAGUACAAUUUUAUUCUUCUUUUACUAACUAAAUGUAUAUUUUACAUAUUGUGUCUUAUCUCAAUUUAUUCUAAAUAAUUUUUUUUUACUUUUUUUUAGUAUCUUUUCAUAAUUCAAACUUUUAAUUGACACUCUUACUUCUUUUAUCAAAUAAUACAAUUUUGUUAGUAUAUAUCACACGUCAUCAAAUUUUAUUUAUAAUAGUAUUAGUUAGCUUAUUCACAAUUAGAGCAAAUAAAUAUCAAUUUCAUAUUCAUCUUUGAUGUUUACCGACAUGUCUUAUAUGUACUUAUUCUAUUUUUUAGUAUUUCUUCACAAUUCAAACUUUUAUUUGACACUUUUACUUGUUUUGUCUUAUAAUACAAAUUUGUUAGUAAAUGUCACAUGUCAUCAAAUUUUAUCUAUAAUAGUAUUAGUUAGCUUUUUCAUAAUUAGAGCAAAACAAAUAUGGAUUUGAUAUUCAUCUUUGAUGUUUACUAACAUGUCUUAUAUCUACUUAUUUUAAUUUCCUUUUUAGCACUUCUUCACAAUUUAGACUUUUAAUUGACACUCUUACAUAUUUUGUCAAUUAAUACAAAUUUGUUAGUAAAUAUCAUAUGUUAUCAAAUUUUGUCUACAAUAAUACUAGUUAGCUUAUUCAUAAUUAGAGCAACAAAUAUCAAUAUGAUAUUCAUCUUUGGUGUUUAUUGAUAGUUACACUUUUUUUUUAAUAUCAUGCAAUUGUUUCUAUAUAAAAUGAAAAGUUGUCAGCCACUAAAUGUAAUACAUAUUUAUUUAUUCACUUGUUUAUAUAUAUUUUUAAUUAAACGUUUUAAAUUAUAUUUAUUACUUCAUAUUUCAUCUCACAUAAAAUGAUAUACUAUUUUUUUUGUAAAUCACACUGAAUUUUUUUGUGAAGAUUAUAUCUUAUAUACUUUAAUCAAACGACCCUAUUUGUUAUAUAAAUUUAUAAUCCUUAAAAAUUAAAAUAGUCUUAAAUUUUUUUUAAGACUUCACUUCUUGACUAUUAUUAUGAUAAAUUGGAUGUAACGUGAUCAAGAUGUUAAGUUUGAAAGUUUUGUACCUGUGGACACGUUUGUCAUUCAUUAUCUUAGCUAGCCUUUGAUCCUAAAUUUUGAAUUAAAUAUUUAAAUUUAUCUUUAAAUAUAUAUUUGACCAUGAAAUUUGAUCAGAUUUUUAAAAUUAAUUUAAAAAAUUAGUAAAAACUGAUUCAAGGGAAAUUUAUUUACUCACAAAAGAUAAAAUGUUUUCAAGGUAAAAUAUACCAUUGAAAUUUUAAGAAUCACUUCAAGAAUUCCAAUUUUUAAUUUUCAAGUUUUACUUUUAAGUUCUAUGACCAAAUAAUUUUUUUGUUUUAUUAAUAAGAAAAAUAGAAAUAAAUGGAGUAAUUGUUAAGGUAACUGAUAUGAGAAUAAAAGUACUUGCAAUAAACUUUGUUCUAAAAAAUUCCAAAUCUUCCCAAAAUCCUCUCCAAUGGCGGGUCUCUACGCCUCUCUCAGACCCCAACCGCCAUCUUCUUCUUCCUCUUCACAGCAAUCUUUCUUCUCGAAGGUUCUUCUCCUUCUAACAAUCCUUCCUCUAUCUUUGGCUGUUUUUGCUUUUUUUCUUCAAUGGCGUGGUGGUGGAGUUGACGAUCCAAUCUCUCGAUGGUCUCCUGAAGAGUCUCACAAGUUUCCUGGCAUGGACAGUUCUCCUUUAGCCACUGUUGCUCACUCUUCUCAGUCAUCAGACUGUUCUCUUCUUGCCCAUACCAAUACGCCGUCGUUCCCUUACUAUAAAGACUGGAAAUUUAAACUUCAUCCAGAUCUCAAACCCAAGGUUCGAUUUUUUCUUUUCGUUGUUUAUGGUUUAAUUUGUUUGUGGGGUUUUUGAAUUUUGAUCGAUCUCAAAUGGGUUUUGCUGGAAUUCAUUAUUUAGCUAAUUGGGAGUGUCUCGCAGAUUUUUCUUUCAUUUUGCAGUUUCUAGUACCUUCUAGCAAAUGAGUAGCUCUACUGCAUAACUGGGCUCUUCAAUUUGUUUAUUUUUAUAAAUUAAGUAUUUUAUGAAGUAAAUGGAACAUUAUUCACAUAAGAUUUGUUAAUUGUAGAUUCAAGGAGUGCAUAGUUUGUAUUUACAAGAAGCAUUUAAAGGACCUAUAGGAUAUACAUUGUUAAUCCGAAAUUUCAUGUAGAUCAGUUGCAGGUUGAUCAUCCCUGUUUCUCUACAGUUCUUUUUUUUCUCUUCUUUCUGGGCAAACACAACAAAAUAAAUCCAGUAUUCGGAUGCUUGGUCAUGAUGGGAUGCUUACAAUUGUCCCAGUGUUUGCGAGGAGUCUUUUGAGUAUGAUUAGAGAUUAGUAUGCUAGUAAAAACUGUUGCAAGGAGACUUUCAUUAUUGAACAUUGGAAUGAAAGGGUGCUCUCCUUGCUCACCCUUAGAGCUCAUUAAGAUUUUAGUUACUGUAGCAAAGAGUGGAUUCAGGAUGGUAGCAGCCAAGCUUUGGAGGAAAGAAGACAGAAAGCCUUCCAAGUGGUCCAAAUGCAAGGAAUCUGGCUCCCUUCUUCCAACAAAACAUAACAAGAGGAUGCCAACCGAGGGUGCUCUGUCUCAAUUUGUUUAAUCCUCUACUAGCUUCUGCAUUUUAGUCGAUAUUGUAAAUGGACGCAAACGAUGGAAAAAAAUGUUAUUUGAUCUUCUAUCUCGUUUUUUUUAACAGUGUGUUUUACCUGUACCUAGAAGAACAAACCAUUUCUGAUGUUCUUCAUCUUCUGUGCUUGUGAUUUACUUGUUGAUAUGUAAAUUCUUGUGAAAAGUCACCCAAGAAAUUUAAUAAUGUGUCGAGAAUUGAGAUGAAAAAAAGAAAGAAUGAAAGGGUGCCAAGUAGAGCUAAAUGGAUGGUGAGGAUUCAUACGCCGACCCCAACUAGCUUGAGAUUGAAUGGUUGAUGUUGUAAAUACGAAAAAAUAAGUAUCAGGGAAAUGGUUCCUACAUUUUUUCUCUUUUUGAACUCCUUCAACCAAAGGAAAUCUCCUGAGAUUUUAUUGUGCAGCUUUUCCUGGUUAAGGGUUGAUAACAUGCCCCUCUAUCCUCAUUUCUGCCCUAACAGAACUAGGAUUAUUUGAUACUAAAACAAGUUUGUUCAGCUUUGUUUACACGAUAAUUUAACUGUCUUGUUUCUCUAUAUGCAGAUAUGUAUUACAACCAGUACAUCUGGUGGCCUAGAGCAGAUUUUACCGUGGAUGUUCUAUCAUAAAGUAAUUGGGGUUACAUCAUUUUUGCUUUUUGUGGAAGGAAAGGCUGCAUCUCCUGAUGUUUCUAAAGUCCUUGAAUCCAUUCCCGUAAGUCCCCCAACCUGUAUUUACCUUCUCAAUGAUUCUUAGGAUUCAUCAACACGAUCUUUAAAUUGUGUGGGGCGCGAUUGCGAUUAAGCACCUGCCUCUCUGUACCUUACCUUCAAUUAGCUCUAUCUAGAUGUUUUCAAGAAUAGCAAUUCAUUUGGGUGCUCUUAUGAAAAUUGAAAAAGCAUUACUUCUCAUGCAAUUUUCAUGACCUUUCUUUUUUAAGUUAGAGCUGAACUGUAAUGGUCCAAAUCCAGGUUAUCCACUUGUUAAGGCUCAAGUGGCACUUUUCUAUUCUCAACCAUGGGUUUUGUUUGAUCUGCAGGGAGUAAAAGUAAUAUACAGAACUAGAAAGCUAGAGGAGCAACAAGCCAAAAGGUCUGUUCACUGACAUUUUAUGAUUGUUGUAUGGACUGGCUAUAAUUUCUUGUACUUCGUUUAUUCAGGUUCAAGCCAAAUUUGUGAGACACAGUUAAACUUUGUAAAUUAUUUCUUUCCUAUUGGCUAUAAUUGUGUGAGAAACAGUUAGAGUUAAUUAGACUUGCAAUAUAUUGACCAUGGGAUAUUUCUAAAAAUAUAAGAAUUUGUUGACUGGUUUUAGUGAGCUGAAAUUAUAGGAAUAAUUAAUAAGGGCUACAAAAUAUCAAAAGAUAUGUUUUGGUGCUUGACUUUGUUUCUUCUUUUGUGCAUAUUUUCAUUGUUUCUAUAACUGUUGUAAUUAUUUCGCGUUGAGUUGAGAAAAUUGGCUAAACGUUUUUUCUCCUUUUAGCAUUAGCAUGCCAUUUUCUUUACAUAUGUUUCACUGACAUGCAUUUUCUAAUUUUGAUCUGGCUUGAUGGGAAUGAAAUGUGGCCGUCAAAUUUUGUUAAUGCUUGUACUCAAUGGCAUGCAUUUUCUAAUUUUGAUCUGGUUUGAUGGGAAUGACACGUGACCUUCAAGCUCCGUUAGUGCUUGUAUUUUUCACAUUUGCACAUCUGAGAUGUCUACAAUUGUUUCACUGAGUCCUUUUUUCUCAUUUUGUUCUAGCCGGAUUUGGAAUGAAACGUGGCUGUCUAGUUUCUUUUAUAAACCUUGCAAUUACGAGCUCUUUGUGAAGCAAUCUCUUAAUAUGGAGAUGGCCAUAGUGAUGGCAAGGGUAUGAACUCUUCUACUUUUGCAUCGUCUGUCAUUCUAAAUCAUAGUUGAUGAUCCAUGUACAUGUUGAAAUGUCAGGACGCUGGUAUGGAUUGGAUAAUUCAUCUGGACACAGAUGAGUUAAUACACCCGGCCGGUGCUCGAGAGUAUUCUUUGAGGCAGUUGCUGCUUGACGUGCCUUCAAAUGUUGACAUGGUUAUCUUUCCUAACUAUGUAAGUUAAUUGGAAAAUGUUCCAGGAAACAGCUAUUUAUGGAUAGUACAUAUCUGAUUAAUUCUCAGAACAUGUUGUUUACCGUUGGAAUUGUCAUCAAGUAUUUUAAUGAUUUUUUUUUUUGUAAAUUCAGGAGAGCAGUGUCGAACGAGAUGACAUCAAGGAUCCCUUUACAGAGGUAAGCUGGAACUUGCAAUUCAUUAUUUAUUACUGAACUGCUGGACAGUAUCGUUGAUGGGAAAACUACUUUGAUCAUUGUGAUAUGAUAAGAUGCAUUAAUAUGCUUCUGGUGAUUCAGCUAUUCAAGUGCAGUAAGCAAUUGAGUGAUGUUUGUUUAAUUCUGUAACUGUUGUAUCUUCCUAUAUGUUAAUUGUCCGUCAUCUGUUUGACUACAGCAAGUAUCAUUGAUGUAAAUAAGGAGAACUCUUGUUCUGUUAUGUUAUUACCCCCAUGAUCAGAAUCUCUUGAAGUGUUUUUGUCAUAUUCUGCUGCUUAUUAAAGCUAUGUAAAUAAAGCUUGGCGUAUGAUCUGAGACUUUUUUUUUUCUUUUGUUGUUUUUUCCUAUGUGCCCAUCAUAAUAGGUGUCAAUGUUCAAGAAGAAUUAUGACCAUCUAAUGAAGGAUACAUAUUUUGGCAUGUAUAAAGAAGCAACCCGUGGCAAUCCAAAUUACUUUUUGACGUAUGGCAAUGGUAAAGCAGCUGCUCGAGUUCAGGACCAUCUUCGUCCCAAUGGGGCUCAUCGAUGGCAUAAUUACAUGAAAACUCCAAAGUAUGUUUGCCCUCUAUAGUCUCUCCCUUAGUAACCUGUCUAUUAUGCUCUUGGCCCUAAGCUCAUGCAAACUUAUUGGACGUUAGUGGGAUACUUUUCAAUUGUUCCAUAUUCUCGUGCUCUCCAGAAUGCUAUGAAUGUUACAACCUUUUUCCUUUGUAGCACUGGUAUCUAGAAGAAGCCCAUCAUACUAAAUUUUAUUCAACAUAUGUCAGGGAGAUUAAAUUGGAGGAGGCUGCUGUUCUGCAUUACACAUAUUCCAAGUUUUCUGACUUGACUUCAAGGCGAGAUAGAUGUGGUUGCAAGCCCACAAAGGAGGAUGUUAAGAGAUGCUUCAUGUUGGAAUUCGAUAGAUCUGUGAGUUUAUGCUCCUUUUCUGUUCUUCAUUUAUAGAUGGAAAUAAGACAAUGCCUUUCCUUUUGCUUUGUGUAUACAAGUGUACUACUGGAUAAUGUAGUUCCAUAAUUUUUACCGGUUCAUGAUGGUUGCUGGAGAGGACUUGUUUUAUAUCUAAUCCGUAUUUGGAUCUUCCAAUUAUCUUAUUCGAGUUGGUAGUUAUGCUACUGGGUUUCAGGAAAGAUGUGUGGGUGAGUGGAACAGGAGGGAUGGGGAAGCUGCCAACUUGAGUUUAUUAGAUUAAUAAUGCUAAAUGUCUUCAGCAUUUGGAUGACUACUUUAAGGUCCAAUGAGACUGUUUCAACUAGAUUAGAAUAUUAGACUUCUGGUGUUUACUCUGUUUUGGUUCCUUGUGGGUAAGGGGAGAGGCUCAUUAAUUUACUUUGUUAAAUGUAGUAAUCAUCAUUUGCUUCCCUUUGUUUGGUACAACUAGUAGGUGAGUAACAAAGGGGGCAGGUGAAUAAACCUACACGGGGAUAGGACUCAAUCCCUUAAUCCCCUUUUACUUCGCCUCCUAUUUUACUUGCGAAACAAAUAAAUAACCCAUGACACUUCUCGUCCCUAGGUCUUAGGUCUUUGUUCUAAGAGUGAAGCGCAUUAUGUGUGGAUUAAACACACGUCAUGGGUUUGAACCUUGUUGCAGUCAAAAACCUAGUGUUUAAGUGGAGAGGGGUAGAGACCAGACUUACAUCAACCGGAUGAGACUAAGUGGAUGUUCGAACCGACUGGUGCCUCAUUCGCCCUAAGGGAAUUCUCGGUUAUCAAAAAAUGACCCAUGACACCUCACUCUACUUCAUGUCCCCAUCCUCUUCCAUUUCCAACUAUAUCAUAGCAUUAGACAGAUUCUGAAAGGACAAAUUGUUGUUGGAGGAACUUUUCUGUUUGUUUGUUGGGUACUCAUUGUGAGAUUUGCUAUUCUUAAAGGCAAAAAGUGUAAAUAGUGUACCUCCACAUACCAUUUUAUUCUCUUGAAAGAUUGAUUGCCUGUUUGGCCAAACUUCUAAAAUCAACUUAUUUUGAGAAAAGAGUAACCUACUUCUAAAAUCAACUUAUUUUGAGUAGUGCUUUUCAAAAAAGUACUUUUGGUGAGAAACCGUUUGUGUUUGGCCAAGCUUUUUAGAAUUGCUUCUAAGUGUAUUUUUUUCAAAAGUGCUUAUGGGGAAAAUCACAUUUUUAAGCUUCUGAAAACAGCUUAUGCUACUUUGCAUAAGCACUUAUUUUCUCCUAAAAGCUUGGCAAAACACCUCAGUUUUUAAAAUAAACAUUUUUUGAAAUAAAAUAAGCACUUUUGGCCUCCCAAAGCUUGGCCAAACAGGCUAUGGAUCUAGAUAGUAGAAUUGUCUAUAUUUGUGUCAUCACAAUCUCGUCUAGUUUCACCUUAACUUUAUCCUUCUUAAAUUGACUAAUUUUGCAGUGGCAAUAUUAGGCACACCUCAUCUAUGCCUUAAGCAAGUUUGCUAUAGAAGUUAUGUGGGUGUGUUGACCAAGUCUUAGUGAUGCUGUUGCUGCGAUGCUGAUUGUAGUCAUAUAUAGUUGUAGCAGCUCGUUAGGAAUAUAUGUGGCAUUUAUAGUGGUAGAUAAAUGACAGAAAAACAUUCCUAAUAGCGUGCUUCCAGUGUUUUUGUUUUGUUCCAACAGUGUGAUUCUUUUACUCUACCUGUAGUUUAAUUUAUUUAGGAUGAGAAGUUUUUCCUUUUUUAAACUUGUGGUACUCUGCUGUGGACUGUUUUCUUGAGCUGUGAGCGGCUAUCGGAAACAACCUCUCUACACUUUUCAGAACUACACUGGUUAUGUUGUUGUAAACUUUUGGUACUCUGGUUGUCGAAGAAUCAAUCUCAGGCAACAUCUAUAUAUAUUGGUUUUGUGCAAAUAAUUCUCUGUAACCCCUUCUAAAAUAAAUUUUUGUAUAAAUUGUUCUAAUGAAGUGCAGUUUUUCUGGUGCUUCUACGGGGGGCGGGGGGGGGGGGGGGGGUUUAAUUUUUUUUCAUUUUUUUUUUUNNNNNNNNNNNNNNNNNNNNNNNNNNNNNNNNNNNNNNNNNNNNNNNNNNNNNNNNNNNNNNNNNNNNNNNNNNNNNNNNNNNNNNNNNNNNNNNNNNNNNNNNNNNNNNNNNNNNNNNNNNNNNNNNNNNNNNNNNNNNNNNNNNNNNNNNNNNNNNNNNNNNNNNNNNNNNNNNNNNNNNNNNNNNNNNNNNNNNNNNNNNNNNNNNNNNNNNNNNNNNNGGGUGGUGGGGGGGGGGGGGGGGGGGGGGGGGGGGGGUAAUUACUAUCUGUUGACAGUUUAUUGAUCUAGUGUGAACUAUUGUGUUUUAUUUUUUCUUGAGUUUGAUAGUUUAUGAGCUAAUAUGCUCAAAGUGAUAAUAUGUUUUAUCUUCUCCAGGCAUUUAUUAUUGCUUCAACUGCUACAGAGGAUGAGAUGUUAAACUGGUAAUUUCUAAUCUAAAUAGCAGCUAAAUCCAAUUUAGUUUCGCUCAGCUCCCUUUUUGUACUACUGAGUUGGCUUAUUGGACUCUAAUUAUGUGCUCGAGUUAUUCAUCAAUCUAGUUACUCUGCUGUUCUGAAGAUAUUCCUUUUCCUUGGUCAGGUACCGUGAACAUGUGGUAUGGACUGACAAAGCGAUGAACCUGAAACUUUUGAGGAAAGGCAUUUUAACUCGUAUAUAUGCUCCCAUGGUAAGCCUGGACAAACUGACUUAGGAAAUCUUUUUUCUUUGGGCCCAAAAGUGCAUUUUUCUGAAUAGUAAAAAAGAAGAGGUUGUUAAGCUAGGGAAAAAGUUUAAGAACUGUCACCCUAGAACAAAAACCUCUUCUUGUCAUAUUACAAGUCCUUAGAACACAAGAGUAGUGUAGCCUUUGAAGUGAGUACAUAUGUUUGAUAGUUGGGAGAGGAUGCGGAUCACCUGCCUGAUAUUUCAUGCAUAUUGUCAAGUAGCCACAAAUUGGAAAAUACCGAAGACCAGUAUGAGAAUGCUGUGGAUGUAUCUUUUUUGGAUCACAUGGAAUGCAAGAAAUAGGAGAUUGCUUAGGAAGGGUGAAAGAUGAUGUCAGAAGUAUUAAAAUAUUUUCUCUAUUCCAUCAUAUUUGUAGAGAGAAACUGUCUCGUAGAAAAAUUAGGGAAGUGCUCCCAGGGAUUUUAUUUAGGCAUAUGUCACAGUUCAAACCUUGUCUUUGGCACAAAAUGUGGUAUUUAAGUGGGACUACUAGGCGGGCCCAUGCUCCAUCAAGUUCUGAACCUGUAAGGACAAUUAGGAUUGGACCAACUUGCAUGGGAUUUCUAGGUUAUAAAAAAUUAGGAAUGAAGUAGAAAGUCAGCGUGCAACAAUGAAAAAUGAAAAGGUUUAUGGCCAUGGCAAGUCACAUGCAGCCAUGAAAUGGCAACUUUGGAGUACCUGAAUAUGGAGUUAGUGUUAGGGAAACGUAGAUCCUUCCAUCAUCUUCUCCAGCAAUCUGUUUGUCUGUAUUCCAGUAAACAAUGCCUGCACUUUGUUCUCUUGAGAGGAUCCUGAUCUGUGUUUCCCUAAAACGUCAGAAACAUCUUUACAACACAGUCCAAUGAUAGGUUUGUUUAUUCAUUCUUUUCUAUUUUGUAUGUGCAGGUUAUUGUCCAAGGUUUGAGGGAGAGUGGUGUUUUCAGUUCUAUUGUUUUGUCUGCUCAAGAAUCUCUAUCAAAGGACAAAUUCUUAGCAUCCUUUGAAAGUAACAGUUCAUCAAAGGCUGCUGCCUCGGAGUCACUUCCUUCAAGAAAGAUUGGUAGAAAUCAACAUUCUCAAGCUGCCAGGAGAGUUUUAGCGGAAAGUGGUUCCCUCUUUGAAUUUCAUGACGAAGCUGUUCCCCCACGGUCUCCCCCACGGCAUAGAUGCAGAUGUCAUAACUGAAGCGUAAUUGUUCUCCUUUCAUGGCUUCUGCUGCUUUCUUCUGUCAACUUGACGGAGUGGAUGAAUGACGAACAUCCGAUGUCUUCAUUUGUAUCAGUGUGUAAUAUAGCUAAAGAUGUAAGCUAGCAGAUUCAUGGGCAGGGGUUCUUUCUUGCUUCGGUUUUAUGGUUAUUCCCGAUCAUUACCCAAGCGGAGGUGUAGAUUUAUGUUGGUGGAAGUACAGAGAAAAAACAUACAGAUGUUGGAGUUGGGGUGGGGUGGAGAAUUGGAAGGACAUUCUUUUUUCCAGAGCUCCAUCUAUAUGAUAUGGAGAUGAGGGGUUAUUCUUAAUGUGUAUAGUAAUUCGACCUCUAACAUGUUUGAUUAUUUUCGAGGUUCUUAUCUUCUGAAUCACAUGCUGUUCACUGAGAUCAUUUCUUAAAUUGAAUGCUGAGUUUCGGAUCAUUGUAAAGCCUUAAGAAAGAGAUUAAUAGAAAUGAGUAAAUUUCUAAGGCAACAGUUGAGAAAAGAAAAUUAUGCAUCGGAAACAGCAUGUCUACCCUUCAAAGUAGGUAGAUGUAAGGUCAGCAUGUAUUCUAUCUUCCUCAGACCUCAUUUUUGGGAUUAAGAAAGGUGUAUUCAAAGAAAACAAGUAUAUCAUUCGUUUCAAGUCCCCCCNNNNNNNNNNNNNNNNNNNNNNNNNNNNNNNNNNNNNNNNNNNNNNNNNNNNNNNNNNNNNNNNNNNNNNNNNNNNNNNNNNNNNNNNNNNNNNNNNNNNNNNNNNNNNNNNNNNNNNNNNNNNNNNNNNNNNNNNNNNNNNNNNNNNNNNNNNNNNNNNNNNNNNNNNNNNNNNNNNNNNNNNNNNNNNNNNNNNNNNNNNNNNNNNNNNNNNNNNNNNNNUUCUUUCCACCUCCCCCCCCCCCCCUAAGUUUCCGCAUUACAUAUUUAAGAGUUUAAGAUCAGAAAUUUUAAAAAAUAUCUCAAUAUAUUUAUUUAAAUUAAAAAUUACAAUAUUAAUAUAUUUUUACACUCUCUAAAACCACAAGUGAAGUGAGUAAUGUAUCAUUUGCGCCAAUGUCUUUUUAGAGGGGUAAAAGAAAUAAAGAAACGAUAACGAACUGAAAUUUCAACCAACCAGUGGUGGCGAGUAUGAUACUUUCCAACUCGCUCUCCUCUUCUACUUUCCUCCGAUUCAAUAACCAACUGCAACAGCAGCAGCAGCAGCAGCUGUUUGUGGAUUCUUCUUCACGUAUUCUUCAAUUGCAGAGCCGGAAAUUGAAGAAGAAGAGCAGAGGCUUAUCAGUGGUGACUCGCGCAGGUGGAAUAAGUUCGGGCAGUUAUAUAUUUGCUUUGAUAUUUCCACUUUCUCUCCUUGCUAUCACCAUCUUCACUUCUGCCCGUGUUGCUGAUAACCUCGACCAGAAAUUUCUCGAAGAGGUAAAUUACAUAAUCCCAUUUGCCCCAAAGCAAUUUUGUCCUUUCCUUUUUCCGGGAUAGCUUGCGACCUCAAAAAUGUUUUUUGGCAAUCGCUUUACCACUAGACUAAACCUUCAACUUGUGUAGUUAAGAGGUGUCCAUACUUGUAUAAAUAUUUAUUAAACCAAAAUUCUACCUCGUAAUUUUUGGGUGACGGGGGUGUUGUUUGACAUCCGGAAAAGGGUGGCUCCGCCCCUGCACCUAGUGUUUUGAACGAGGGUGCUCGACCCACAUAUUUGACCACUAGGCUGCACCCUUGGGUGACUCAAGUAAUUUUUUCCAUUAGGCUCAUUCUCUCUUGUUUCCUUGAUUUUUUAUUCGACACGAGAUGUAGUAAAACUUUAUGAAAUGUUCCUAUUAAUGAAUAUAGUCUUUGGAAGUGAAGUAAAGGAAAAUUGUGGCUGGAAGGAUCUAACAUCAACAUUUUAUAGGUUUUGGAUGAUUUCUUGGGUGGAGGGAGGGGAUUGAUGAAAUUUGAGUGUCUAGGUGAAAAUUUCUCUCUUGGACUUUGCUUAUCGUUCUCUGUUCUAUGAUAAGAAAUUUUUAGUGUUGAUUUGUUCUGUUAGAUUUGUAUUAGUUGCCAAUGCUUAAGACAUUCAUCAAGUUAAAGUUUCAUCGGAGAGGUUGGAGGUUUUAUGGUUGUAGGAAAAGUAUACUUUAUUUUCUUUUGCUGGCGACUGGUGAGAUAAGUUUGGUCUGUAAAGUGGGGAAGAGGGGUGGGGGUAAUGGAGGGUAAGUGGAUAGAAGUGAGAGCUAGAACAAGGGAGGGAACUUAUGAAUAUAUCGCCAGAAAAAGAUGCUAACAGUCUAGGCUAUAUCAACUCCGCUAAAGCUAGGCAGGCUUAUUAUUGGCAUAACAAUGCAAAUGCUACUGGAAAAGCUUAGAUGGGUUUUGUUUUAGAGUUAAAAAAUUCAGUUCUUGCAAAAUGUAAGCCAAACACCACUUUCAGACAGGCAGUUCUUGGUUGACACUUGACAGUAUGAUGACAUGGGCUCUUGGUUGACACUUGACAUAUGCUGAUAUGGGCUAUCUUCUGUUUUGUGAUUUUUUCGUUGUCUAACUGUUUGUUUUCUAGAGUGGAUCAUGCUACUUGAUUUAUAUGGACAUAGCAUUAUGGAUUUUCCCCUGAAUUGGAACUGUAGCCUUUUAGCAUAGUUCUAUGAGGCAUGAAGUACCAAGGCAUCAGUAAUUCCCUUGGCAAGGAAAACCGAUAGGUGUAAGAUGUUCCUAGAUGAUUAGAAAUGUCAUUAUAUCAAGUGAUCAUGCUAAGCAAAUGAAUAUUGAGCGGAGUGAGCAUAACUUGAUGUUGUCUUUAACUUUUUGUAGAAUGUCUGCUAGGAGGAAACUGAUAACAGUUUGGCUCUGCUAAGUCAAUUUAGGUUGGACAUGUAUAUUUGCUGCAUGAGAAAACUAGUACUACAUAUGUCAAAGCUUUGUGCAAUUUGCACCUAUAACAUUUGAAUUUUCAAACCCUUCAUGGAGUAGUCAGUAUGAGUAAAACUAAUAGGAAUGAUCAUUAUUAGGGAAUACUUAAAUGCCAUACUAGGAUAAGCUAGGCUUUCAACAACAUAAUCUACUUUCCAGAUGCUUCGCCAUAGAAUUGAUCGAUCCAGGUCCCAUUCUUUUAUGCUGCACUCACUUCAUAUUUCUGACACACAAGGAGUACUAAGGGGGCUAACGUCUAUGAGUUGUUAUGGGGAGUGUUCAUGAGUUGACUUAUAACUUGUUUCUCUUUGAAAGAAUUAAUGCAUUUAUGCUUGUAUCUCCCUAGACACGACAUCAACCACUGCAUUGAAGGUCCCCAGUGCAUACUCUGAUUUAAUGGUAAAUAAGAGUUAUAGACAUAUAAUGUUUAGACCUAUCAUACACUUCUUAAUCUCUUAUGAAGUAAAAAGACGGCAAAGAUUUAUGUUGUAUACAUGACACAUGUUGGACACCUAGAAAUUGGUGGUUUCUUACAAUUAAAAGAUGCAUAUCUUUGGCAUAUAUGAACAAUGUGAUUUAAAUGGGACAUCAGAGUUAAACGAUUUUAUAGAUCCAGUUGAGUAUAUAAUUGGAGGUGGAAGAAAAGAAGAAACAUAUCAAUCAUUAAGAAAUUGAAAUGGCGUCAUGUCCUUUAAUUGGAGUUGAAUUCAUGCAAGAAACACACACACACAGAGACCUGCAGCAUGCUCACGAACAUGUAUGCACCCUGCACCCAUUAUAAGCUACAAAAAAAAGAAAUACUGAUAAAAUGUUCCCUCGUAAACUUCGAUCACAUCAUUUGCUGAAAACUUUGCUUUUCAGUUAUUUGUGCCCUACCUUGGUCAUUGACUCAUUGUUACUUAUCACUUGUAGUAAUUGGUAUUUUUGAGCAGUACAUUUCAAAUUCAUCCCAUUGCCACCCCCUCCCUUUUCUUUAGGGUUGCUUAUCACACUUAUGGAUUCUUCUUCUGGCCUUUUAACUUUUAUAUGCCUAACAAUUGAAGAGAAAGAAAUGAGAUUAUUUUGAAGUAAUUCAUACUUACAGACUUCCUGAGGAAAUCGUUGCGUGCACAUUAUAAAAUUUUGAUUUGAGUCUAAUUCUACUUCUCUUGUUGAAUUGACAGCUUGCUGUAAAUGAAACAAUAGCAGAAGGUGAGGAAGAUGAUGGCAGUGCAGUCACUCCGUUAGAGGAAAAACCUGCAACUCCUCGUACACGCAAUCGACCCAAACGGGAAGUUGAACCUUCAUCUAAGUAGUCUUUAUUUGUUAAGGUGAAUUGAUAAUUUACAGAGUGGUUUCUUUAGCACUUUGUCCUUUCACUAUUUAUCAUAAUUGGCUAGAAAAAAUGUCUUUAUUCACCAACACUUUUUGUACUUUCUGUGACUAAUUCGAAAUAUAACAAUAUAUGUGUAUGAAGAGCUAUUUAUUUUACUAAGAUAGAGCCAACUUCGACUAUAGAAUCCAUUUUGAGGUUAUCAAUAAGAAACAAAAACUUAUGAUCCACCUAUAAAAUUUUACUUCAUCCGUUCCAUAUUACUUGUCCACUUCCCCCUUUACAUAUAGGUAUUUUUAGUAAUUUAUUCUUCAACUCUUUUUAAGUAAUAUGGACAAGUAAUAUAGAACGGACGGAAUAUUAUAGCAGUAAAGUUGUAGCUAUUUAAUUAAUUAUUGUCACAGUUGUUACCAAUGAUAACAAAAAAGAGGAAUUAGCUUUGUUAAUUUAAUUUUCAUAGCUAAGAAGAUUUAUGAAUUCGUAGAUAGGCAUGGAUUCAAAUUUUUGUAGCUAUUGCUAGGUACUAACCACAAUUUUUAAAUUCAUGCUAAGAUUUCGUUUUAAUUGAUUUUCUUAAUUUCUUUAUUUAGUUUCAAAAAAUUACUACUUCCUUUAUUUUAAUUUAUGUGACCCGAUUCAAAGCGCGAAGGAUAAAAUAAUCAAUUUGCGAUGUGAAUUAAGAAAUAGAAUCUUCAUAUUUUUUUUAAAAAAACUGACAUGUUUAAAAACCACGUAAAAAGUAAAAUAAGUUACCAUAAUUAACAAUGAAAGUAUUUAAAACAUAUUUGAAUAAAAGAAAGCAUUUUUUGACUUUCCAUAUAUAACUAGGAUUUCCCAAUUUAUUUAACAGUUUUGAAAACAAAAUAGAAAUUAAUAUAAAAAGUUAAUAGUUUCCUUAAUGAUAAAAAGAUACUAGGAAACUUUUUUAUUUUCGUGUGGCGGUAGGUUGGAGGAAAUGGGAUUCCGAAUUCUGGUCGGUUUAGGAAAAACAUAUGCCCUAUAAAUGUGAUGCUAAAGUCUCACCAUUACUCACAAAUAUAUUUUAGGGUUACAACUUAGAACAAACAUCAUGGUUAAAAUAGUUUUACGUGUGGAUUUAGAAAAAAUGUUUAUGAAUGAAUUUUCAAUAAAGAAAAAACCAGACGAUAUUUUCAGUUUGAUUGAAUUUGCGAUUACUGUUGCUGAAGUCAAGUAUCCAACGCAGUUGGAUAAGCAUAAACAUAGGAUGUUGAACCGAUUGAUGAAUUCGGGAAGAUAUAAAGAAGAAGAAAAGAGUGGUAUGUUGAAAGAGGAUAUUGAUGAAAAAUUAGGAACAAAGGAGCGUAAGAAUGAGAUGAAAGGCUUGAAGAAGACGGAUUUUGAAUCAAGUAAAAGGAAAUUUGAGGAACGGUCUGCAGAGCAAAAGGAAGCCAAGAGAAGGAUCGUAAUGUUGGAGUAGGAGAAGAUUUUGAGUAUUAAUAAUAGUAGUAUAUCAUUAAUAUUCAUUUGAUGAGUUUUAGUUAGUACCUACUCCCCUUUUCUGUAUUCAAAAUCAUUGAUAUAAUAGUAGAUUUAUAAUUUCACAAAUGUUGUUGGGUCUCAUAUCUGUUAUUCACUACUUGCUCUAGGUUACUAAUUAAAACUAGGAUCUUGUUACUCUUGCUUCUGAUCAAUUUACUGUUUAGAGGUAAUAUUGCUCAAUUUGCAAAGUGUACUACUCUUGGAAAACUACUUGCUGUAUUUUGUUCAAAGAAAGAUCAAACUACUGAGAUGUACUUUUUACACUACUUGAAUAAAAGAUGGAUUCAGAACCUCAAUAUUUCUAUUUUAUUGCUAAAAAAAUAGGUCAAAAUUGUGAAGUAACAGCCAGCAGGGUUUCAACCUUGUUUAUCAGAAUAAGUUCCAAGAUAUCAGAGUAGUUCUCCAUCUAAAUCUUAAGACACCCCAAACCUGAACCAAAACUUUAAGAUAUCGCAAUCUAGCGAGAUUUAAUGUAGUUGGAGGAAGAAAAUCAUUUAACGCGCAAUCCCCAACUUUCUGUUAUCAAUAUGGACAUGUUCUGCAUAAUUACUGAAUUUCACCAAUACCUGCAAAAAGAAAAGAACUUAUUAUAUGUACUCUUUUAAUUAUAACCAAAUGGCAGUUUUUCUAAACUGGUUAUUAGAUAGUGCUACACUGGCAGAAUUCAUAAAUGUCUGCUAGACCGGGACUUCAUGGCAAGGUCAUUUAAGCCAACAGAGUGCCAAAUCAACUUUUCCAUUUUCCUAUGUCAGGAAGCUAAGGAGAUAUGGAAAGCAAAAAGAAAAGUAUAGUAAGAAGCAACGGAUAGGAGUAAUAACCUGCAGCUCUCACGUUUGAGUCAUAAUCAUAACACUUGGUGUUACUCCAUCCGCUCCAGUCUUGGCGAUCAAGAUUACCUUGGUGACUUGUGCUUGUAAGCUGGACAAGCUGCAUGAGGUAGAUGAGUCAAGCUGAUAAAGAUAAGAACCGAUGUUAAAGAAAAAGUACAAGAAUGGAAGACGAGGGAAAUAGGAGAUUAAAUAGUGGACUCCAAAAUUAAAAUGUCAUCCAUCUUCUGCCAAAUCCCUUGAAACAAACAAAGGGAAAUUUAGGUACAUUUCCCUUCUUUCCUCUAGUCUCCAGACAAAGGGUUUGCUUUUCUUUUUGCCAUGUAAAGCCUGAUUCAGUUAGUAACGAAUAACACAAUCAUAAGUUGAAAGAUACCUUCAAACAGCAUCGGAGUAGUCUUUCAACUCUCAAUGAGAAUAUGCACUUGAACUCUUCCAGUGCGAUAGAUUGGUCCCCUUCAACAACUACCGACAAACUGUUCACCAAGCUACCUGCAAAGUUGAAGUAAUAACCUGUGGGAAACAGUGAAAAAUUGAAAGUGGCAUUUGUUUGAUGUUCUCCAAAAAUUAGGUUCGCCAAGUCAGUUUGACUUUUUGGAGGAAGCGUUUAUUUGAUGACCUGUUUUUGCAAAAUAAUUUUGAAAAUUUCCAAACUUAAAUUGUCAAAUCUUUCAAAAACUCAGGAACUGCAAAAACUAGUUUUUGAGUUAAAUGGAAGAUUGAAAAGUAAGUGUGAAAAUCUUUUAGAAAAAAUUAACGCUUUCCUUUUUUAUAAAAAUAUCCAAACCACAACAAUUCUUUUCCAAAAAUUUAAAAAUGAGUCUGCAAACUCAAGUUACGAAAACUUCAAAAGCCACCUAAAUAGAGCAGGCACCUUGCAGCUUCAUAUCACAUACAAGUGCAAAUGAUCAACAUUUUUAUGAUUUAUUACCUAUUUUCAUUUCUUCAACCUGCUAAAAGAGUACACCCCUUUGCUUUUAACUUUGACUCCAGACCGAAAAAUUUCAACCCAGACAACAGCAAGUCUGCUGUCUUCUUCUUCAUGUGGUCAAUAAGCAUCUCAUCAUAAACAACUAAGUCGGCUUCAGUAAGAUGUUUUCGCUUUCUCAUACUUGCAAAAACUUUCUGUGCUUCUUCAAUUGUUCCAUGUUUGCACAUGCCAUAAAUUACAGCGCAAUAUACAGCAUUAUCAGGAGAAAAGCCCUCUUCGAGCAAUUCAUCAAGAACUUUCAUUACCUUCUCGGCAUCAUUCAUUUUACAGACAUGAAUAAUAGUGAGAAUACACUUAAACUCAAUAGGGCCACUCGCCACAUUGCCUAGGCAGUCACGAAUUAGCAUCAUAGCUGGAUCAAUCUGUCCUAUUUUGCAAAGCCCUAUGACAAGAGAACGAUAUGCAGCAACUGAGGGAAUCAAAGACAUCUCUUUAAUUCUGUUAUAGCAAAUAGAUGCCUCCUGUACAUCUCCGACCUCUACAAAACACUGGACGGCAUUGCUAUAAGCUGAUGAAUCAGGUUCAUAAUCUGAACUUCUCAACUCAGAGAACAAUGUGAGUGCCUUGUUCACCUCGCCAUUCUGAUAGAGCGCCUCCAUAAGAAUGUUAUAUAUUGGAACACCGCAAUAAUCUUUUACUUUCAAAUAUUCAAAGACUUCUAAAGCAAUCAUAAUCCUAUCACCCUUCUCUACCAUAUAUGUGAAGAAUUUGGAUAAAUCAUCACUAAUGCAAUGGCUUAAUCGCUGCAGUUCCUCAAGCAAUUUGCAAAUUUCAUCCAUUUUCUUUGACUCUGCAUAAGACACCAAUAUGGGCUUCACAGUGGAAAAGUCAGGACAAAGAUCUUCUUGAACUGUGAUUUGGAAAAGUUUAUAGGCCCUAUCUGUUCGUUUUGCAUUGCAGAGACCUUCAAUAAUGGAAUUAUAGAUUGCCAAAUCAGCCCUAUAGCCCGACUCUAUCAGAUCUUUAAGCAAAUCACAAGCUAAACCAACUUUCCCAUUUGCUACAAACGAUUCAAUCAAAGAUCCAUAAAUCCCCCUAUCUAUCAAAAUAUUCUUUUGUUUCAUUUCCUUGAACAACUCAUAGCCUUUGUCAACUUGAUUAUUUUUACACAAACCAGCAAUAAAAGUUGAAUAAGCAAUAACAUCAGGUUCAACUGCAUCCUGCUGCAUCUCCUUCCAAACCUUUGAACAACCAUCCAAGUUCCGCUCUGCAACCAAUAUCUUUACCAUUGCUGUGUAAGCAAACACAUCUGGUUUGCAACGAUUCUCUCUCAUCCGACCCAAAAGCUCAAACACUUCAUCCAUCCGUCCUAACUUGCACAGGCCCUUUAUCAAGAUCAUGAAAGUCAUACUUUCCUCCACCAACCCAUCCUUCUUGAAAUCAUCAUAAACUGACAUAGCCAUGUCCAAAUGAUUGGUUUUAACCAAAGCAUCCAUUAUUCUGUUAUACAGAAAUACUCUUGGUUUUACCCCAAAUUUUUUCAUUUUCUCAUAAACAUAGUAUACUCUAAGACCCCUGUUAGCAUCACCAUGCAUUCUGAUUAAGAUCUCAAAUUGUUUCUCACUAGGUGGCUUUCCUUGCAUAUGCAUCAGCUCAGGAACCUGAUCAGCUGUCCGAAAUUGAUUCGCCCGAUUCAGACCAUAAGCAAAGGCAUUGUAACAAGAGAAAUCAUGCCUGUAACCUUUCUGUUUUCCUGUUAAGAUAACAUUAUAAGGAUAAGAAGAUACACAUAUACAAGCACAACACUGAUCAUCAUCAAUUUGUCUAUUCAUUUUGCUCAUUUUUUCUUGUGAACAAAACAAUAACAAAAUGCAUAGUGACUUCAUCUUUUGUAUAUAGACAAAUUUAAGGCACAACACUCUUGCGAAAAGAUCAAAACCAUGACAAUUGUAGUGUCUGAUUGCCUCAAAAUCGCACAAUUGCAUCUAUAUACUCUCCCCGUCCAGUAAAAUUCCAUGACAAUUGUGGUGUUUGACUGCCUCAAGGUCACACUACUGCAUCUAUAGACUCUCCCUGUCCCUUAAAAAUUAGCCUUUUCGAUUUUUUGUGCCAGCUUGACCCAUUUUUAGACUACAACAACAAGAAACCCAGUGAAAUCCCACAAAGUGGGGUCUGGGAGGUUAAAGUGUACACAGGUCUUACCAAUACCUCUCUGCCACCCACUUUUAGACAAAAAAUAGCAGUACAAGUUACAACAUUCCCAUUUCAAAGUGAAAACAUAACACAUUCAACAAUCUUGGAUAUCAUAUAAAAUUCCCAGAGAAGGGGAAAAUAAUGACACAAAUAACAAAUUCCCAAAAAAGUAAAAAGGGUGAAUUUUGAAUAUACCAGCCCAAUAGAAGAACUUGGAGGAAAUUUUGGGAUCAAGAUUAGGGUGUUUGAGAACCUCAGUUACAAGCUUAGGAGUGACCCUUCGUAGACUAUUAAGGUCAGCCAAAAGGGGUGCACCCCAAUUCCCAUGUUUCCUGAAUGAAUCCACUAUAUACCUAGCAAUUGGUGAUAGGCGCUGAGCUAAAGAGAAGAAUUCCUGAGAUGGGUCUCUGGAUUGUUGACCCGAAACUCCAUCCGGGUCCCAUUUUUGAAGCUGAAAAUCACCUUGGGUAACAGAGGAAGGUGAGUUUUUGGUGGUGCGGUUUGGGUUUAUGGUUUGGCGAUUGGAAAAAAGGCCUCCUUGAACUGUGGGACGAUGCUGAGUAGGUUUCCGGUGGCCGUAGAAGAAGUACGGUUUGCUUUGUGCGGAUUUGGGCGGCAUUUUUGAGUUUCUGUUCAAGUUUUUUCCUCUUCAAGAACUGAAAGCGGCUGUGCUUGUAUGAACUAUUUGCAGAAACUCUUUUGCACUUUGUUUUUUUUUUUUUAAAAAAAAGAUCCUUAAGUAAAAAUCAAUAAAAUUUGUUUGAUUUUUUUUACAACAAAAAGACUACAAUAUUAUUUUUUCAUAAGCACAUUAUUUAACUCUGCUAAGAAAAAAAAAAAACUUCAUUAUAGUUACAAAUUGAUAAUCUUCUUUACAUUUGUGUCCUUAGUUUCUGCCAAAAAAUUAGAGCUACUUUGAAGUGGGUUCCACCUUUUGAAAAUGUAUAACAAAUGUAAAAUAGCAACUAGCGACCAAAUUUCCCCUUUUGGUCUCGUGUGAAUUUUGAUACUCAACUAAAUUUAAAUUUGUACGGAAAAUUUUUAUAUUAGAAGGUAAAUAGUUUUUUAAUAAGACAAUUCUGUAUUCAAGGGAAUUCAAACUCAAAAUCUCUAGUUAAGGAUAAAAGAGUACUUAUUACUCUAUCACAAUUUUUUUGAAAUCUCUAUCAAAAAUAAAAGGAUACUUGUCACUCUACCACAAUUUUUAUCGAUAAGUAGCACCAAACUACUUAGCUGUAUAUUUGUGUCUGGAGUCUGGAAAACACCUUUUAAAAAAUAAUUAAAUAUAUGAAUGAGGUACUCAUUUUUAUUUAAAAGACUUCAAACAUGUUUUUCAUAAUCAAAAUUAUUUAUUUCAAAUUUGAAAUAUAACAGAUCAAAUUAUAAAGCAAAUUUUAUAUAUAUGAUAACACUUGAUUUGGACAUUGAUUUUUACAAUACUUCGUUAAAAUUUUAUUAUAAUAAAAUAACGCAAUUUUUUUGAAAACGCCGUAUCAAAGUAUAGAAUUUGAAUACAUUUUACUUGAUCCUUUCUAGGAUAGGCGUGAAAAGAAAAAAAAAAACUAACAUCUUCUAAUUUUUCAUUUUUCAUCAUUAACUAUUGGUCCGCACCCUUGAAUCAUAUUCAUAUUAGCAAUAAGAUAUGUAUCAACUCUAACUGAUUUUCAAGGGUAAGAACAAGUCUAAAUGUCAACAGUGUAUAUCAAGGUGCUUGAUGCGACCAUUGAUGUAUAAUUAAGCUCCACCAAACCCUUUUAGAACUGCAUCCAUGGGUGAUCUCUUCCCAUCUGUUCUAGCUUUGGUGGUAACUGCCAUGGCCGACAGAGUCACCUGAUGGUAGGUAUCCCAUAGAAUUCAUUAAGGUGCGUGCACGCAGGCCCAAACAUCACAAUUUUCUCCAAGAAAAAAAAAGUUCCGCCUAAGUAGUGAUACCAUCACCAUUCAGCUUGAACUUCUUUGAAAUGAGUUCAAAGAGAUGCACCAGGACCAUGACAUCCACUCUUUGAUCUGCCAACAUGCAUCUAAAACGACAGUUACAAGGCAUACAAGUCACAGCAAGGCUAAAAGUACAAAAGCCCUCGAUGCAUUUUAUACCUGUUGCCAAUUCCCAGAGGGGAAAAGGGUGAAGUUAUAUAAAGAUUUACAAGCUUACAUCGAGAUAUCAAAGCCACUUACAGCAAAGGUACAUGGGCUUAGCAACAUGCAAUUUAUCAUUCAUCUAUCAUACCUACCCAACUAUCCACCAUCCAACAGGAUAUUUUCUCUUUAACCAAAAAUAAAUAAAUGGAACAGAAAUGAGCUUUUUUAUGUUACAAAUUUCCGCUCAAUGCCAUAAACAUUCUCCUAUUCCACUGCCUUCCAACUUGCUUACUUUUCUACCAUCCCUCUGCAAGAUCAUGGUUGCAACUGCUCCACCAUUAGACUCAGUAACACCCAAUGAUGUUACAUAACAUACAAAAAGAUCCAGAAGUUGGUCAACUUUUCAUUGAAAAGCCAACUUAAGGAGCUGAUCAACUAGUCAUACAUGUUAAAAGUAACCCUCUUCUGUGUUUUUUCUUCUCUCCAAUUGGUCGCAGUCCUCUGUUCAUCACUUUGAAACCUUGAGCUUUUGUACCUCGGCACAUGUUGUGAAGAACUUUCCCUCUUGCGCGAACCAGUAUAAAAGGUUUUAUCACCUCUGCUAGGUCUUCCAAAAUCCACAUUUCUCUCAUUACUCUGCCUUGGUUGUUGCUGAUAAUCCCAAGACGUGACCUCAGAUCCUCUCCAUCUUCUGUCUUUUGAGGUUGUUCCACCACCUCGACUAAGAUUCCUAUUCCAACGAGAGCCAUAGUCUGAAUUCCGCUGCUCAUGCCCCCCAGUAUUCCAAUAGGUUUGACCCCAGGAACCAACGCUAUUAUCAACCCAUUCAUUUCCUUUAGCACCAGAAACACAUGCACCACUUUGAUGCCACAAAUUGCUGAAACUGUUAUCAACACAAGCAUAUCCAUUCUCAUAAUUCAUCCCCGUGUUCCAACCCCAUGACUCAUUUCCACAGCCUCCCCAGGCAGUGUCCUUCAAGAUGCCCUGGGUUUUAGGGGAACUCCUUUCCCACGGAUUAUCAUCUUUGAUGUUUACAGGGGUAUACCAUUCAUUCCAAGUCUGCUUCGUAUCCUCAAUAGAAGCACUUUCCCAAGGAUUUUCACGAUUGUCACCAGGCUUUGAGCCCUGCACAUUGCCACUUUCCCAAGGAUUUUCACCAUUAGCAGCAGUUUUAGAGCCCUGCACAUUGCCACUUUCCCAAGGAUUUUCACCAUUAGCAGCAGUUUUAGAGCCCUGCACAUUGCCACUUUCCCAAGGAUUUUCACCAUUAGCAGCAGUUUUAGAGCCCUGCACAUUGCCACUUUCCCAAGGAUUUUCACCAUUAGCAGCAGUUUUAGAGCCCUGCACAUUGCCACUUUCCCAAGGAUUUUCACCAUUAGCAGCAGUUUUAGAGCCCUGCACAUUGCCACUUUCCCAAGGAUUUUCACCAUUAGCAGCAGUUUUAGAGCCCUGCACAUUGCCACUUUCCCAAGGAUUUUCACCAUUAGCAGCAGUUUUAGAGCCCUGCACAUUGCCACUUUCCCAAGGAUUUUCACCAUUAGCAGCAGUUUUAGAGCCCUGCACAUUGCCACUUUCCCAAGGAUUUUCACCAUUAGCAGCAGUUUUAGAGCCCUGCACAUUGCCACUUUCCCAAGGAUUUUCACCAUUAGCAGCAGUUUUAGAGCCCUGCACAUUGCCACUUUCCCAAGGAUUUUCACCAUUAGCAGCAGUUUUAGAGCCCUGCACAUUGCCACUUUCCCAAGGAUUUUCACCAUUAGCAGCAGUUUUAGAGCCCUGAACAUUACCACUUCCCCAAUGAUUUUCACCAUUAUCAGCAUUUUUAUCCUCCCAUACCAGGGUGCAUCCAGGAACUAAGUUGUUCUCAGACUUGACAGAGUUUUUAACUUCAUUAGGGUUAAAAUAUUCUCUGUCCAAAUCUAAUAUCAGCUCCGGAUCGAUAGCUGAGUCCCAAUCAACUUUAUCAAUGUACAAAUCUGGAUUGGGAGGAGGAUUCUGAGGGGGAAGACCACGAAUCUCCGCCCAAUAUCUCCUUUUUGCAUCGUUGAAUGCUUCUUGACCUGCAGAAUCAUCCCACUUAACCACAUUUUCAUAACAGUACAUAUAUGUUUUUGCACUCACAACCUUGUGCCAGGGAAUCCCGGCUGCUCUGCAGAAAUCUAUUUCCCAUAAUGGGACACUGUUUUGCUGGAUAGCUUUAAAAGGCCAAAAAGAAGAAGUUAUCAGAUUCUGUAGAUAAUACAAGACUUGAUAGCAUUCAAGCAGAUGUGCAGAUGAAAAUAUUUUAUGUGAAAUAGACUUUUCAUUUAAUUUUAAAAGAAGAUGAAGAAAGAAGAAGAAACUGAAGGAAAUAUAUGAAGAGAUGUAUUUUAUUAAAAUGACAAAACUUCCACAACAAUCAGAAUUCCAAGCAUGUCUAUCAAGAUCUUUUUACAUAUACAUACACACGUGUAUAUGUGUGUGUAUAACUUUUAAAGCACAUAAUCUAGACACACAAAUUUCAGAGGAAUAUUGGAGCUGGGUCAGCUGGCUUCAACACUUCCAACUUUCUACCAACUCCACUUAAAUACCAGACUUGGUUCACCAGUUAGGAUUUGAGUCGUGACUUGUGCCAACCACAAUCUCGAGCCCUACUGCCUUUUGCCCUGAACUAAAUCUCUGAGGCAGGAAUAUAAUUCCUUGUACAAGAGGUUAGUGUAAAAGGACAGCUAUUCAAUGCUUGUUAUUUUCCAGGUCAAAACAAUGACAAAUUGAAACAUGAACCAAUUUCCUUAACAGAGAAGGUAUACGUUGUCUCCCUAUUUACAGAUUCAGCUAGGUCCCCUUUCAACAAUUCUCCUUUAUAUUAUUUACAGUAACCCAGACAAGCACCUCACAUGCUUCUGAUUUUUAAAUAUCUACCUUCCUAACAUAAUUACGGACCGAAAAGUGAGAAUGACAGACUUUGCAGCAAUAACAGUCUCAAGAGAUAAGAAUGACAACCAAACAUUUCUGGAAGACGAUUCACACGCGAAAAUUUAAAAAGAGAAAGGUCUUCCUCAUAAGCUAAUUGGUAGAACAAAUUAAUAAUUAGACAGAGGUUCAAGUCCCAACUAAGGGGGGUGAAUCAUUUUAAAUUCUUAGUUACAGCUUCAGGGACUCGUGAAAGACAAGCUUAAUCCAAUAGAAUGUAAAAUACUCUAUCUUACAAAAUAUUUCAAAAGGAGGACAAAAGUUUACUAUUCUAUGGCAUCACUAUUUGAUAUGAACUUCUAAUGCUAUCAACCAAUUUUAGCAGGUCUAAGUAGUCAAGGUAUCUGUUCUAAGAACUUAAAAGGCACAGCAACAUAGCUCUCAUCGUUUUCCUAAAUUCAGAACUGGGAAAAUAAAUGAAGUCACAGUUCUUACAGAAGCGAUUCAGUAUGAUAUGUGAAAUUAUAGGAAGAUGAUAAUAUGUAAAUGGUCAAAAAGGGUAUCAAGAAUCAGAGCUCUAAGGCACUGAUAACUGAUAACUCCCCCACCCCCCUACACACGUAGUUCAAUAACUCUACAACAACAACAUAACCAGUGUAAUCAACAAAAUUAAUUAAUCAAAUUUGACAGUUCUCAUCAUCAUUAAGACUAGAAGUAUAUUGGUCAAAAGCGCAACGGUCACAGCUUCCAACAGAUGGAAUAGUUUAGGGGUCGGAAAUUUUUUAAAAAAAGAACAAAGGUAACAGACAGAAAUAAAAAAAAAAUUUGCAUAUGACUAUGGGGACUUAGCAAUGAGAAGCACAUUCUAAUGGGAAAUGAGUGAUUAGGGGAAAGUAUGGGAUGUAUGGAAAUUGGAUUUCAGGAACAACAAGUGGCUCCAUUGAGUAGCCCCACUGACGCAUAUAAGGAGAUUCUACCACCAGGUUUACAUGGCAGAGAAACCAGAAAAUGGUCUACUCCAUAGGUAUUAAGGUAUAACUCUAAAAGUCUUUUCAGAUUUAUUUACCUAUUCCUACACCAGGAGAUCUCCAUAAGUGAAUGCAGAACUGUAGAAAAAAGAAAUUGAACAUGAGGAGGAAUAUUUUCAAUCGACAGAUCAAUUGAAUGGAUCUAUCAUGGUCAGAUAUUCAGCUACUUUAACCAUAACACUAGGUGCUUACAAAUCUUAAAUUCUUGGUAUAAUCUGACUUUAGUAAAUGAUGUCAAUUCUUUUGUAGAUUUCACAGAUUACUAGCAGUGAAGUAACUCUGCCAUAUCUUGAAGUGCCUUAGUGAAGUUCUCAGAGAAAUUAUUAACAUCACUUAUUACUCAAAAGAGAAAAAGACUAGAAGUUAUAAAUAUUAGAGAAGCUAGCACUAUUUUGUUUUAAAAAUCCAUCAGUAAGACGAACACAAUCUAAAAGAAUCUUGUGAUGGCCAAUCUGUUACAUUGUAAGAAAAAAGAAUCUUGUGAUGGCCAAAUAUCAUGGAGAAAAGAAAAAACAGUCAAUCAAGUGUCUCCAUUGGAUAAGUAACAACAACGCGUUCACGUUAACAGUAAAAUAUUCUAUCACCAGCUAAGAAAUAAAACUUAAUCAUACAGCCACCCAUUUCCUUAAAAUAACAACUUUUUUCCUUUUCCGAAACAUCGUUCAUUUAUAUUCUACCAGAGUGUAUGUAAACCUUCACUCAAAUAACAAAAACAAACGGAAAAAGAAAGGAAAAAUGUGCAUCUUGACAAUAUCAACUUGGCAAUGGCAUACCACUAAUGAAGAGGACCAGCCACGUCUUUGUGUUAAAACGUGUUUGGUGCUUCAUAUGGGAAACAAUUCCUUCCUAGUUGUUUAUGAUCACAAAUUGAUUUUAAUUUUCUCGAUUUCCAUCUGCUCGUGGGACUUCCUCAAUUUGUUCAAAUGUUGUUCGCUGAGGCAGAGCUAGGUAGUAAUCAGGGGGUUUGGACAAAUCCCCUUCGCCGGAAAAUUACGCGGUAUAUAUAAGGUUAAAUCUGCAUUUUAGGUAUAUAUAUCAUAAAAUGAGCCCCCUCAACCCUUACCUGUAGCUUGGUUCAGCGGUGAAGGUUCAAAUGUUGCAAGGGGUCACUGGUUCCAUUCCCCGCGAUAACAUUUUUUAAAACUUUUAUUUCCCUUUUCUACCUAUGGUUAUUACCCACGUGCCACAACUAUCUUACAUAGGAUACAACUUCUCGUGAUUUAUUUAAUUAAAAAAGAAUAAGAAAGAUAAUAGCUAUUUAAUUCUCAUUCUCUAGAUUUCAUUCCAAACAUUAAUAAAAGUAAGUCCCCUCACUUAUUAAUGUCUUCUUUGUUUUAUGCUUAAUUAUGAUAAAGUAUUUUAUUUAUUUAUUUAUUUGAACACAUCAAAUUUAUUUGUCAUAAUAUAUUUGAACUUAUAACUUUUUUCUCUACACAAUGAUCCCCAUAACAAUAAUGAAGUUUAUAAAAUGAAAGGAAAUGAGCCAUGUGGGUUACUAAGUAAUUUUUUAAUAGCAUAAAAAAUAUACAGUAUCCAUAUAGUUACACUAUGAUAUUUAUCUUUAUUUUUUAAAGAAAAAAGUACUUUCUUCAAUUCAAAUUUAAAGGGAAAAAAUGCACAAAAUGUGCAGGAAAAAAUGUUAAAAGGAGCAUGAUAGGGCGAGUUAAAAUUUAGGGGUUAAGGUUAGUCAUUCUCUUGGUCACCCAACCCGUUUAUCAUCCUACAAUCCUUACGUAUUUACUUUCUCAUAGUUUUAACCCCUCGAUGGAAAUCCUGCCUCCGCCACUGGUUGUUCGGCUGGUGUACUAGACUAGAAAAUAAAUUCAGGAUGUAUAAACUAGUUAUUGUUUAGUAUAAAAUCUAUGUACUUGUCAAAAGUACUUAAUGCUUCGAGUGGAUGAGUUUUUAGAGUACCAGAAUCUCUCUCAAGCAAAUGAAAACAGAAAACCAAAUAUUUAGGCAGAUAAUAUAUCAAGGAAACAUGACUAUUUUCAUCAAAUAAACAUUGAGACCCUGUUUGGAUGGUUGUUACUUAUUGUUAUGAUCAUAAUGUAUCGUAUCGGUAUUGUACUAUUUUGUUUUAAUAAAUACAAUAUUUAGAUAGAUUACAUUGUUCUCCGUCAUUACAUAAUAUUAGACAUCAACAAUUUAAAUGCCAGGGGGGAGAGAUUCUAUGAAAAGGUAGGGUAAACCUAAACGACAAAAUAGCAUUAUUAAAUAAUAAGUAAGACAAAAUAAGAAUAACGACACAAUCACACCCGAUCCAUCGUUACACAAACUGGGGUGGGGUUUUCGUCGUUAACUAACGAUUCAUUACACAAAAAUGGGCCUUUUCGUCGCUAAUGAUGGAUUUAAACAUACCAACAAUCAAAACAAUAAAAAUUAAACCAACAAUCAAAACAAUGUUUAAAAACUAAUAAAACAGUACAUACAAUGGGUAGCAGCCAUCCAAACAAAGUGUAAAGCUUGUUCUUUAAUGGAUCCUCUGCAGUCUACACAUACAGAGGCAACCUCUAACUAAACUAAUCAUCCAAAUGAAAAAAAAACUAAUCAAACAAAAGAAAACCCAAAAUUUUUCACCGAAUUGUAGAUCAAGAAAACACCAUCGGCAUUAAUCGAUACAGAAAAUAAUUGAUAAUCAACAAAUAGCAUGAAACAGUACCUAAAAAAGAAAAAAUAAAAAGAAGACAGACGAGUACCAUGAUAAGGAGAUUGGUUGUAAUGGUACGGCUGAGAAGGGGGGAAAUCUUCCUGCUUGUAGUUCUUUCUGGGUAUCCAUCUUCUUCUGUUCCAAUUCCCCAUUUUUGGAACUCAAAAAAAGCAAAAAUAAGAGUUUAUUUUCAGUCGGCACUCGGCAAAAGGGAAAUACUCAGAUUGAAGAUGUUUUAGG